UCGCCGGAGCUCGCCAGAGCGGGCGCAUCUGGCUGGACUGCGCCGCUCCUGCCCGCCUCCACCUUCUCCAGAUCUGCAGCAUCUGCUGCACCGCCUUGGACGCCGGCACCUCCCUUCACCGCUGCGGGCGCCGCGACCUGCUACACCUGCGCCACCAGAUUUGCGCCCCAAUCGGGGCGCUCGCUUCCUGCGUCCUCCAUGGUGAUGGAGGUGAUGGAGAGGAUGCGGUGGGGGAGAGGGAGACAACAAGGCGGACGAGGAGAGGGAGAGGAGAGGGAGACGAUGCGGCGGGGGAAAUGGUGGGCGAUGCGGCCGGAGGUGGUUCCCCUCCUCAUUUAUAUGAUGGGACAGUUUUGACAUGUUCCCAUGGACACGUGCUGCCCCACGCGCGGGCGGUUGCAUGCGAAAACGAAACACCCGGGCGUAUACGAAUACGACCAUACGGUCGGGCAUAUGAACUAAUCGGGUCGUACGGGCCCCACAGGACUCCUCGACAGCUAUACACACGGGCAAAAAAGACGAUCGUGCCCCUCGUUUCGAACCGUUUUUGGUUAAUCCUGGCUGUCCUUGUGUUUCUCCCCCUUGCGUUCAGCCCAGGGGGGGUGCACCGGAGCAGAAACGAGUGUUCACUAGUUUGGCUAAAAAGAAUAGUCUCAAUGCCAUAUACAAUAAGAACUCACACUCAAGGAUGUCAUCUACCAUCUCGUCGGCGUCGGAGACAUGGAAAAGAUGGCACAUGAGCACGAGAAGGCAAGGGAAGCUACGCGAAGGGGCUCUCUCUAGGUCAGAGGAGCCGUGGGAGGCGAUGCGGACGACCAUAGGACCUCCUCGCCGACAAACCGAGCCAUGACUAGGGUUCACCGUGGGGCAUGUUCGGAGGUGGAAGUCAGCAUGAUGACAUGGAGUCGUAGUGGCGGGUCCCGUUCGGUAGUUGGCAGUGCUGAUUAAUAGUUUGAAAGUGCAUCCCCAAGAUACCCUAUUGGUUUCGAUGAUUUAUGACAAAACCAUUUUAGAGGACUAAUGAUUUCAAUAAGCUUGUUUUAGAGACUAUGACUAAUUUUCGUAUGCCGUCCUUGAUAGGUGGAACAUCAAUGAUGAUGUUACUGUUACAUUUUUCGUUCAAACAAGUUACAGGGAGCUACCACAUUGCCACCUCAAAAGAAGUAAUACUGGUUCCUAGCUAGUAGCCACACACAUGGAGCGACUCACGCAGCUCCAACCAAUUAAAGUUUCGUGAAUCUUCCAUGGCUAUUCAUUUGGCCUCGCUCGACGUCACCCGGCUCUGGUGACCACUUAUGUCCCGGAUGGAUGUCGCCGGCCACACGCCCCUCGAAGACGACGAGAUGAGCAGCGUGUGAUCCUCGUCGCCCCGCCCAUCCAAGCGAAGAUAAGACGCCCACUCCCUUCCCUCCACAUGGCACCCGCCCUCCAAUCCCUUACUUAUUCCCGCCCCCCUCACUCCUCCAUCCCCUAGCUCGCUCGCCUAUCCUCUCCACCUCCUCAGCCACACCUAGAGCAUCUUAGCUCCGGCUAGGUAGCUAGCAAUGGCCGCCGCACUGAGCCUCCGCGCGCCCUUCUCCCUGCGCGCCGUGGCGCCACCGGCGCCCCGCGUGGCCCUCGCGCCCGCGGCCCUCAGCCUCGCCGCCGCCAAGCAGGUGCGGGGAGCCAGGCUCCGCGCCCAGGCGACGUACAAGGUGAAGCUGGUGACGCCCGAGGGCGAGGUGGAGCUGGAGGUCCCCGAUGACGUCUACAUCCUCGACCAGGCCGAGGAGGAGGGGAUCGACCUGCCCUACUCCUGCCGCGCCGGCUCCUGCUCCUCCUGCGCCGGCAAGUUGGUGUCCGGCGAGAUCGACCAGUCCGACCAGAGCUUCCUCGACGACGACCAGAUGGAGGCAGGGUGGGUGCUCACCUGCCACGCCUACCCCAAGUCCGACAUCGUCAUCGAGACCCACAAGGAGGAGGAGCUCACCGCAUAAGCUGCUUUACCUAUCUCUCUUUGCAAGAUAAUAUCACGGACCCUGAGACCUGUGUAAACCCUGAGAGCUGAUUUCAUGCAUGCACGGACAUUGCCAGAUACACCGAAUUGUUUGUGCUCGAAUGAAUUGCUCGAUGCAUGGUUUGCUCAAGUAAUAAUGUCUUCGAAUUACUACCUUUUUGUACCGUAAGAUAUACUACUGCCGUAAUACUAGCGUGUACCUUGUACGUAACUCGACGUACUGAAAUGAAUCCUGAUGGCUGAGGCGUCUCUCUGAUUAAUAAUAUCUUCUCUUUAAUUAAGAGACUGCUGAAUUACUUGAUGAACAUCUUACCUGGGACUUUCUUCUAUAUCCAGAUAAUAGGUGCAUGCUACGACUUGUUUCAAUAUGAGUUACACAAUUUCCUCAUUAUUUUGUUUACCCACAAGGAGACCUCUUUUCCGCACUCAUUUUUGUCCUCACUACUGAUUUGCUCCAAUCCAUUUUCAAUGAAGCUUUGGACAACAAUUUGAUAGGUUUGCCCAUUAUCACUAAGAAUAACAGAGAUUUCCUUAUAAUCCAGUAUGCAGAUGACACCAUUAUUAUCUUGCAUGCAUGUCCCUUGCAAAUUCAACAAGUUCAGAACAUAUUGAUGCAUUUUCGGGUUUACACAGGUCUCAGGGUCAACUACAACAAAUCCAUGAUGGUUCCCAUGAAUGUACCUGCUCAUAACAUCAAGCAACUCUCAGCUAUUUUAGGUUGUGCCCACAGUAGUUUUCCCUUUACUUACCUUGGACUUCCUCUUGGCAUUUCUAAACCCAAGGUUGAAGAUUUUGAAAAGGAUUGGAUCUAGACUUGCUGGUUGCUCCACAAUGCUUUCCUAGGGAGAGAAACUCAUUCUUGUGAAAUCUGCUUUCACUAGCCUACCUACUUCCUUCAUGAGCAGUUUAGACCUCCCCAUAGGAGUUGUUGGCCAUAUUAAUAAAUACUUGAGACAUUGCUUUUGGAGGAAAUAUGGGAUGGACGACAGACGUACUUCUCUUAUAUUCUUGGGAUAAAAUUUGCCUUGCUAAGGAAGCUGGUGGACUUGGAGUUCUUGAUGUGCAAACUCAGAACAAAGCUUUGUUGAUGAAAGAUCUGCAUAAUUUUUUCAAUAGUUCUGACCUCCCUUGGGUGGACCUUAUGUGGAGCUCCUACUAUACUUCUACCCCCUCCUCAUGUCACACCUGUUGGUUCCUUCUGGUGGAAGUUUAUUCUCAAAUUAAUCCCUGAUUUUAAAGCCAUCUCUUCCUGCAGCAUGGGGCAAGGGAACUAUGUUCUUCUGUUAUUUGAUAAUUGGGAUGGUAACAGAUUCAUUGAUAGAUUCCCUGAGCUUCAUUCUUUUGUUGUGAAUGACCAAUUCUCAAUUGAGCAAGCAUUGCACAUCAACCCUCCAGAGGAUCUAUUCCAUAGGCCACUCUCCACCCAAACUUUCCAGCAGUUCCAGGGUUCCCAAAACUUUAUGAAUAAUAUUCAGUUUUCUGGCUCCAAAGACAAAUGGUCUUACAUCUGGGGAUCUUCUCAGUCCUCUAUUGCAAAGGUUUACAAAACCUUGAGGGUUAAACCACCUACACCACCUCUCUUCAACCUGUUAUGGAAGAGCUCAGUAAUCCUUUGAUAUAAGAUUUUCUUCUGGUUUCUCCUUCAUGAUAGACUGAAUUCAAGAGAGCUUCUACAAAGAAAAUCCUUGUGGCUACCCAAUUAUGAUUGUGGAAUGUGUGACACUAAAUCCUUGGAAACUGCUUUUCACUUGUUUUGGAACUGCCCUUUUUCUAUUCAAUGUUGGGAGACCUCGAUUCCGCAGAUAUUGAGGAACAACUCAGUUUACACAUAUAUCCAACUAGCGGUGCCCCCCCCCCUCCUGAUUUGGCCCUGGACAUCAUAAUUAUGGCUUCAUGGAAUAUAUGGAUUCAAAGAAACAAUGCAAUGUUCAAAAAUACCACACACAGUGUGGCCUCCUGGAAAAUAUUGCUUAGAAGAGAUCUCCAAAUUCUGGCUCACAGAAGACAACAAAGUAGCAAGACUGCAAGCCUGGAUUAAAGUUAACCUUUAAUUUCUCAUGUUGCCAAAAGGUGGGAUUGGUUGAGUUGUAUUUUCUUUUUUCUGUUUGUACAUACUUUUAUUAUUAAUGAAAAUUUAACCAUACAACUAUUGUUCUAUGAUCAGUGCCUAAAAAAUGUUUGAGGCUAGCAGAAUGUUUGUUUACAUGGUCCUCAUUUUUUUCUGAAAAGGGAUAAUAUGUUUGUAAGAUCGUGAAUGUCACCUAGAGGGGGGUGAAUAGGCGCUUUAAAAUAAUUACGGUUUAGGCUUGAACAAAUGUGGAAUAAAACUAGCGUUUAAUUUGUCAAGCACAAAACCUAAAACAACUAGGCUCACCUGUGUGCACUAACAACUUAUGCUAAGCAAGAUAAACAACUAAGUGAUAGAAAGAUAUAUAACAUGUCAUAUUAUGGCUAUCACAAAGUAAAGUGCAUAAGUAAAGGGCUUGGGUAAGAGAUAACUGAGGCACACGAAGACGAUGAUGUAUCCCGAAAUUCACACCCUUGCGGAUGCUAAUAUCCGUUUGGAGCGGUAUGGAGGCACAAUUGUUGGGGAACGUAGUAAUUUCAAAAAAAUUCCUACGCACACGCAAGAUCAUGGUGAUGCAUAGCAACGAGAGGGAAGAGUGUUGUCCAUGUACCCUCGUAGACCGAAAGCGGAAGCGUUAGAACAACGCGGUUGAUGUAGCCGUACGUCUUCACGGCCCGACCAAUCAAGCACCGAAACUACGGCACCUCCGAGUUCUAGCACACGUUCAGCUCGAUGACGUCCCUCGAACUCCGAUCCAGCCGAGUGUCAAGGGAGAGUUCCGUCAGCACGACAGCGUGGUGACGAUCUUGAUGUUCUACCGUCGCAGGGCUUCGCCUAAGCACCGCUACAAUAUUAUCGAUGAGGACUAUGGUGGAGGGGGGCACCGCACACGGCUAAGAGAUCAAGAGAUCAGUUGUUCUGUCUAUGGGGUGCCCCCCUCCCCGUAUAUAAAGGUGUGGAGGAGGGGGCCGACCAAGGGGGUGGCGCGCCCUAGGGGGGAGUCCAACUCCCACCGGGAGUAGGACUUCCCCCUUUCCUAUUAGGAGAGGGAGAGGGAAGGAAGAGGAAGGAGGGAGGAAGGAAAGGGGGGACCGGGCCCCCUCCCAAUUCGGAUUGGGCUUGGGGGGGCGCCCCCUCCCUUGCUCCUUUCCCCUCCUUUCCACUAAGGCCCAAUAAGGCCCAUAUACCUCCCGGGGGGGUCCGAUAACCUCCCGGAGCUCCGGUAUUGUCCCAAUCUCACCCGGAACCUUUCCGAUGUCCAAAUAUAGUCGUCCAGUAUAUCGAUCUUUAUGUCUCAACCAUUUCGAGACUCCUCGUCAUGUCCGUGAUACACAUCCGGGACUCCAAACAACCUUCGGUACAUCAAAACUCAUAAACUCAUAAUAUAACUGUCAUCGAAACCUUAAGCAUGCGGACCCUACAGGUUCGAGAACUAUGUAGACAUGACUGAGACACGUUUCCGGUCAAUAACCAAUAGAGGAACCUGGAUGUUCAUAUUGGCUCCUACAUAUUCUAUGAAGAUCUUUAUCGGUCAAACCGCAUAACAACAUACGUUGUUCCCUUUGUCAUCGGUAUGUUACUUGCCCGAGAUUCUAUCGUCUGUAUCUCAAUACCUAGUUCAAUCUCGUUACCGGCAAGUCUCUUUACUCGUUAUGUAAUGCAUCAUUCCGUAACUAACUCAUUAGUUACAUUGCUUGCAAGGCUUAUAGUGAUGUGCAUUACCGAGAGGGCCCAGAGAUACCUCUCCGACAAUCGGAGUGACAAAACCUAAUCUCGAAAUACGCCACUCAACAUGUACCUUUGGAGACACCUGUAGAGCUCUUUUAUAAUCACCCAGUUACGUUGUGACGUAUGGUAGCACACAAAGUGUUCCUCCGGUAAACGGGAGUUGCAUAAUCUCAUAGUUGUAGGAACAUGUAUAAGUCAUGAAGAAAGCAAUAGCAACAUACUAAACGAUCAAGUGCUAAGCUAACAGAAUGGGUCAAGCCAAUCACAUCAUUCUCGUAAUGAUGUGAUCCCGUUAAUCAAAUGACAACUCAUGUCUAUGGCUAGGAAACACAACCAUCUUUGAUUCAAUGAGCUAGUCAAGUAGAGGCAUACUAGUGACAUUAUGUUUGUCUAUGUAUUCACACAUGUAUCAAGUUUCCGGUUAAUACAAUUCUAGCAUGAAUAAUAAACAUUUAUCAUGAAAUAAGGAAAUAAAUAAUGACUUAAAUAUUGCCUCUAGGGCAUAUUUCCUUCAGUCUCCCACUUGCACUAGAGUCAAUAAUCUAGUUCACACCGCAAUGUGAUUUAACACUAAUAUUCACAUAUGUAUGUGAUUAAUACCCAUAGUUCACAUCGUCAUGUGAUCAACACCCAAAGGGUUUCUAGAGUCAAUAAUCUAGUUCACAUCCCUAUGUGAUUAACAACCAAAGAGUACUAAGGUAUGAUCAUGUUUUACUCAUGAGAGAAGUUUAGUCAACGGGUCUAUCACAUUCAGAGCCGUAUGUAUUUUGCAAAUAUUCUAUGUCUACAAUGCUCUGUACGAAGCUACUCUAGCUAAUUCCUCCCACUUUCAAUAUGUAUCCAGAUUGAGACUUAGAGUCAUCUGGAUUGGCGUAAAAGCUUGCAUCAUUGUAACCUUUUACGAUGAGCCCUUUUAUCACUUCCAUUAUCGAGAAAUAUUUCCUUAGUCCUCACUAAGGAUAUUCUUGACCGUUGUUCAGUGAUCUACUCUUAGAUCAAAAUUGUACUCCCUUGCCAAACUCAGAACAAAGUAUACAAUAGGUACAUAACAUAGCAUAAUUUAUAGAACCUAUGACUAAGGCAUAGGGAAUGACUUUUCAUUCUCUUUCUAUUUUUUGCCAUGGUCGGGUUUUGAGUCUUACUCAACUUUCACACCUUGCAAUACAGGCAAGAACUCCUUCUUUGACUGAUCCAUUUUGAACUACUUCAAAAACUUAUUAAGGUAUGCACUCAUUGAAAAAUCCUAUCAAGCGUCUUGAUCUAUCUCUAUAGAUCUUGAUGCUCAAUGUGUAAGCAGCUUCACUGAGGUGUUUCAUUGAGAAACUCUUAUUCAAGUAUCCUUUUAUGCUUUCCAAAAAAAUUCUACAUUAUUUCCGAUCAACAAUAUGUUAUUCACAUAUACUUAUCAGAAAUGUUGUAGUGCUCCCACUCACUUUCUUGUAAAUAGAGGCUUCACUGAAGUCCGUAUAAAACUAUAUGCUUUGAUCAACUUAUCAAAGCGUAUAUUCCAACUCCGAGAUGCUUGCACCAGUCCAUAGAUGGAUCGCUGGAGCUUGCACAUUUUGUUAGCACUUUUAGGAUUGACAAAACCUUCUGGUUGCAUCAUAUACAACUCUUCUUUAAGAAAACCAUUAAGGAAUGCAGUUUUGACAUCCAUUUGCCAGGUUUCAUAAAAUAUGGCAAUUGCUAACAUGAUUCGGACAGACUUAAGCAUCGCUACAGUUGAGAAAAUCUCAUUGUAGUUAACACCUUGAACUUGUCGAAAACCUUUUUGCGACAAGUCGAGCUUUGUAGAUAGUAACACUACUAUCAACGUCUAUCUUCCUCUUGAAGAUCCAUUUAUUUAUGGCUUGCCGAUCAUUGGGAAAGUCCACCAAAGUCCACACUUUGUUCUCAUACAUGGAUCCUAUCUCAGAUUUCAUGGCCUCCAGCCAUUUCGCGGAAUCUGGGCUCAUCAUCGCUUCCUCAUAGUUCGUAGGUUUAUCAUGGCCUAGUAACAUGACUUUCAGAACAGGAUUACCAUACCACUCUGGUGUGGACCGUACUCUGGAAGACCUACGAGGUUCUAUAGUAACUUGAUCUGAAGUUUCAUGAUCAUCAUCAUUAGCUUCCUCACUAAUUGGUGUAGGAAUCACUGGAACUGAUUUCAGUGAUGAACUGUUUUCCAAUUCGGGAGAAGGUACUAUUACCUUAUCAAGUUCUACUUUUCUCCCACUCACUUCUUUCGAGAGAAACUUCUUCUCUAGAAAGGGUCCAUUCUUGGCAACGAAUGUCUUGCCUUCGGAUCUGUGAUAGAAGGUGUACCCAACAGUUACUUUUGGGUAUUCUAUGAAGAUGCACUUCUCCGAUUUAGGUUUGAGCUUAUCAGGAUGAAACUUUUUCACCUAAGCAUCCCAACCUCAAACUUUAAGAAACGACAGCUUAGGUUUCUUGCUAAACCAUAGUUCAUAUGGUGUCGUCACAAUGGAUUUAGAUGGUGCCCUUUUAACGUGAAUGCAGCUAUCUCUAAUGCAUAACCCCAAAACGAUAGUGGUAAAUCAGUAAGAGACAUCAUAGAUUGCACCAUAUCCAAUAAAGUGCGGUUACGAUGUUCGGACACACCAUAAUGUUGUGGUGUUCCAGGUGGCAUGAACUGUGAAACUAUUCCACUUUUUUUUAAUUGAAGACCAAACUCAUAACUCAAAUAUUCAUCUCCACGAUCAGAUCGUAGAAACUUUAUUUUCUUGUUACGGUGAUUUUCCACUUCACUCUGAAAUUCUUUGAACCUUUCAACUAUUUCAGACUUAUGUUUCAUCAAGUAGAUAUACCCAUAUCUUCUCAAAUCAUCUGUGAAGGUCAGAAAAUAACGAUACCCGCCACGAGCCUUAAUACUCAUUGGUCUGCAUACAUCAGUAUGUAUUAUUUCCAACAAGUCAGUAGCUCGUUCCAUUGUUCUGGAGAACGGAGUUUUAGUCAUCUUGCCCAAAAGGCACGGUUCGCAAGCAUCAAAUGAUUCAUAACCAAGUGAUUCCGAAAAUCCAUCUUUAUGGAGUUUCUUCAUGCGCUUUACACCGAUAUGACCCAAACGAUAGUGCCACAAAUAAGUUGCACUAUCAUUAUUGACUUUGCAUCUUUUGGCAUCAAUAUUAUGAAUAUGUGUAUCACUACGAUCGAGAUCCAAUAAACUAUUUUCAUUGGGUGUAUGACCAUUGAAGGUUUUAUUCAUGUAAACAAAACAACAAUUAUUCUUUGACUUUAAAUGAAUAAUCGUAUUGCAAUAAACAUGAUCAAAUUAUAUUCAUGCUCAACGCAAAUGCUAAAUAACAUUUAUUUAGGUUUAACACUAAUCCCGAUAGUAUAGGGAGUGUGUGAUGAAUAUCAUAUCAAUCUUGGAACUACUUCCAACACUCAUCGUCACUUCCCCUCAACUAGUCUCAGUUUAUUAUGUAACUCCUGUUUCGAGUUACUAAUCUUAGCAACCCAACAAGUAUCAAAUACUCAGGGGCUACUAUAAACACUAGUAAGGCACACAUCAAUAACCUGUAUAUCAAAUAUGCCCUUGUUCACUUUGCCAUCCUUCUUAUCCACCAAAUAUUCAGGGCAUUUCCGCUUUCAGUGAUCAUUUACUUUGUAGUAGAAGCACUCAAAUUCAGGCUUUGGUCCAGCUUUAGGCUUCUUCACGGGAGUGACAACUUGCUUGUCAUUCUACUUGAAGUUCCCUUUCUUUCCCUUUGCCUUUUCUUGAAACUAGUGUUCUUGUCAAUCAUCAACACUUGAUGCUCUUUCUUGAUUUCUACCUUCGUCGAUUUCAACAUCACAAAGAGCUCGGGAAUUGUUUUCGUCAUCCCUUGCAUACUAUAGUUCUUCACGAAGUUCUAGCAACUUGGUGAUGGUGACUAGAGAACUUUGUCAAUCACUAUCUUAUCUAGAAGAUUAACUCCCACUUGAUUCAAGCGAUUGUAGUACCCAGACAAUCUGAGUACAUGCUCACUGCUUGAGCUAUUCUCCUCCAUCUUUUAGCUAUAGAACUUGUUGGAGACUUCAUAUCUCUUAACUCGGGUAUUUGCUUGAAAUAUUAACUUCAACUCUUGGAACAUCUCAUAUGUUCCAUGAUGUUCAAAACGUCUUUGAAGUCCCGAUUCUAAGCCGUUAAGCAUGGUGCACUAAACUAUUAAGUAGUCAUCAUAUUGAGCUAGCCGAACGUUCAUAAUGUCUGCAUCUGCUCCUGCAAUAGGUAUGUCACCUAGCGGUGCAUCAAGGACAUAACUCUUCUGUGCAGCAAUGAGGACAAUCCUCAUAUCACAGAUCCAAUCCGCAUCAUUGCUACUAACAUCUUUCAACACAGUUUUCUCUAGGAACAUAUCAAAAUAAACAUAGGGAAGCAACAACGCGAGCUAUUGAUCUACAACAUAAUUUGCAAAAUACUACCAGGACUAAGUUCAAGAUAAAUUUAAGUUCAAUUAAUCAUAUUACUAAAGAACUCCCACUUAGACAGACGUCUCUGUAGUCAUCUAAGUGAUCACGUGAUCCAAAUCAACUAAACCAUGUCCGAUCAUCACGUGAGAUGGAGUAGUUUUCAAUGGUGAACAUCACUAUGUUGAUCAUAUCUACUAUAUGAUUCACGUUCGACCUUUCGGUGUCCGUGUUCCGAGGCCAUAUCUGUAUAUGCUAGGCUCGUCAAGUUUAACCUAAGUAUUCUGCGUGUGCAACACUUUUGCACCCGUUGUAUUUGAACAUAGAGCCUAUCACACCCGAUCAUCACGUGGUGUCUCAGCAUGAAGAACUUUCACAAUGGUGCAUACUCAGGGAGAACACUUCUUGAUAAUUAGUGAGAGAUCAUCUUAUAAUGCUACCGUCAAUCAAAGCAAAAUAAGAUGCAUAAAGGAUAAACAUCACAUGCAAUCAAUAUAAGUGAUAUGAUAUGGCCAUCAUCAUCUUGUGCUUGUGAUCUCCAUCUCCGAAGCACCGUCGUGAUCACCAUCGUCACCGGCGCGACACCUUGAUCUCCAUCGUAGCAUCAUUGUCGUUUCGCCAUAUAUUGCUUCUAUGACUAUCGCUACCGCUUAGUGAUAAAGUAAAGCAAUUACAGGGCGCUUGCAUUUCAUACAAUAAAGCGACAAGCAUAUGGCUCCUGCCAGUUGCCGAUAACUCGGUUACAAAACAUGAUCAUCUCAUACAAUAAAAUAUAGCAUCAUGUCUUGACCAUAUCACAUCACAACAUGCCCUGAAAAAACAAGUUAGACGUCCUCUACUUUGUUGUUGCAAAUUUUACGUGGCUGCUACGGGCUGAGCAAGAACUGUUCUUACCUACGCAUCAAAACCACAACUAUAGUUUGUCAAGUUAGUGUUGUUUUAACCUACGCAAGGACCGGGCGUAGCCACACUCGGUUCAACUAAAGUUGGAGAAACUGACACCCGCCAGCCACCUGUGUGCAAAGCACGUCGAGAGAACCAGUCUCGCGUAAGUGUACGCGUAAUGUCGCUCCGGGCCACUUCAUCCAACAAUACCGCCGAACCAAAGUAUGACAUGCUGGUAAGCAGUAUGACUUGUAUCGCCCACAACUCACUUGUGUUCUACUCGUGCAUAUAACAUCUACGCAUAAAACCAGGCUCUGAUGCCACUGUUGGGGAACGUAGUAAUUUCAAAAAAUAUCCUACGCACAUGCAAGAUCAUGGUGAUGCAUAGCAACGAGAGGGAAGAGUGUUGUCCACGUACCCUCGUAGACCGAAAGCGGAAGCGUUAGAACAAUGCGGUUGAUGUAGUCGUACGUCUUCACAGCCCGACCGAUCAAGCACCGAAACUACUGCACCUCCGAGUUCAAGCACACGUUCAGCUCGAUGACGUCCCUCGAACUCCGAUCCAGCCGAGUGUCAAGGGAGAGUUCCGCCAGCACGACGGCGUGGUGAAGAUCUUGAUGUUCUACCCUCGCAGGGCUUCGCUUAAGCACCGCUACAAUAUUAUCGAGGAGGACUAUGGUGGAGGGGGGCACCGCACACGGCUAAGAGAUCAAGAGAUCAAUUGUUGUAUCUAUGGGGUGCCCCCCUCCCCCGUAUAUAAAGGAGUGGAGGAGGGGGCCGGCCAAGGGGGGUGGCGCACCCUAGGGGGAGUCCAACUCCCACCGGGAGUAGGACUUCCCCCUUUCCUAUUAGGAGAGGGAGAGGGAAGGAAGAGGAAGGAGGGAGGAAGGAAAGGGGGGCCGGCCCCCUCCCAAUUCAGAUUGGGCUUGGGGGGGGUGCCCCCUCCCUUGCUCCUUUCCCCUCCUUUCCACUAAGGCCCAAUAAGGCCCAUAUACUUCCCGGGGGGUUCCGAUAACCUCCCGGAGCUCCGGUAUUGUCCCAAUCUCACCCGGAACCUUUCCGGUGUCCAAAUAUAGUCGUCCAAUAUAUUGAUCUUUAUGUCUCGACCAUUUCAAGACUCCUCGUGAUGUCUGUGAUCACAUCCGGGACUCCGAACAACCUUCGGUACAUCAAAACUCAUAAACUCAUAAUAUAACUGUCAUCGAAACCUUAAGCGUGCGGACCCUACGGGUUCGAGAACUAUGUAGACAUGACCGAGACACGUUUCUGGUCAAUAACCAAUAGCGGAACCUGGAUGUUCAUAUUGGCUCCUACAUAUUCUAUGAAGAUCUUUAUCGGUCAAACUUCAUAACAACAUACGUUGUUCCCUUUGUCAUCGGUAUGUUACUUGCCCGAGAUUCGAUCGUCGGUAUCUCAAUACCUAGUUCAAUCUCAUUACCGGCAAGUCUCUUUACUCGUUAUGUAAUGCAUCAUUCUGUAACUAACUCAUUAGUUACAUUGCUUGCAAGGCUUAUAGCGAUGUGCAUUACCGAGAGGGCCCAGAGAUACUUCUCUGACAAUUGGAGUGCCAAAACGUAAUCUCGAAAUACGCCAACUCAACAUGUACCUUUGGAGACACAUGUAGAGCUCCUUUAUAAUCACCAAGUUACGUUGUGACGUUUGGUAGCACAGAAAGUGUUCCUCCGGUAAACGGGAGUUGCAUAAUCUCAUAGUUGUAGGAACAUGUAUAAGUCAUGAAGAAAGCAAUAGCAACAUACUAAACGAUCAAGUGCUAAGCUAAUAGAAUGGGUCAAGUCAAUCACAUCAUUCUCCUAAUGAUGUGAUCCCAUUAAUCAAAUGACAACUCAUGUCUAUGGCUAGGAAACACAACCAUCUUUGAUUCAAUGAGCUAGUCAAGUAGAGGCAUACUAGUGACAUUAUGUUUGUCUAUGUAUUCACACAUGUAUCAAGUUUCCGGUUAAUACAAUUCUAGCGUGAAUAAUAAACAUUUAUCAUGAAAUAAGGAAAUAAAUAAUAACUUUAUUAUUGCCUCUAGGGCAUAUUUCCUUCAAAAAUGCCCCCCAGGAAACCACUAGGGCCACCGUAAUCUCCUCAUGCCCUUGCACAAUGCAAGAUGCCAUGAUUCCACUAAGGGACCCUUGAGGGCAGUUAUCGAACCCGUACAAAUGGCAACCCUAGGGGGAGGUCACCGAACCCGUACACUUUGGCAACCCUUGGGGCGGUCACUGGAACCCGUACAAAUUCCUCGGUGCAAUCUCCACAACCUAAUUGGAGACCCCGACGCUUGCCCGGAGCUUUACACCACAAUGAUUGAGCUCCGAGACACCACAAACCAUCUAGGACGCCCAAGCACCCAAGAGGAACAAGCUCUAGGGUACCAAGCACCCAAGAGUAAUAAGCUUCUCAACUUUUCACUUCCACGUAUCAACAUGGAGAACUCAAAUUGAUGCAACUAGUGCAAAGGCAAGGGCACACGAAGUGCCCAAGUCCCUCACUCUCAAAUCCCAUCAAAGCAACAAAAGCUAUGAAGGAAAAUGGGAGGAAGAACAAGAAGGAGAACACCAAGAACUCCAAGAUCUGGAUCCAAGGGGUUCCCCUCACAUAGAGGAGAAAGUGAUUGAGGAAAUGUGGAUCUAGAUCUCCUCUCUCUCUUUCCCCCCAGAAAAUAGCAAGAAUCCAUUGAUUAAUUGAGAGAUAGCCAGCUCGAAGAAGUUCAACAAUGGGGGAAGAACACGAGCUCAAAGGAUAAGAUGCAAUGGGGAAGAAGACCCCCUUUUAUAGGCCUCUCCAAAUCCAACUGUUAUGCACACAGCCCAUGCACAAGCGGUAGUACCGCUCGGGCGAGCGGUACUUCCACUGGCAUGGUAGUUUCAUCCAUAAUGAGCAACUAAGAAACUCAAGGAGGCGGUAGUGCUACCGAAGCGGUACUACCGCUCCCAUACUACCGCUAGGCGUUGCGUGUAUAGGUGAAACACCGAUAGUAUAGUAGAGCAGCGCGGUACUACCACCCACUACUGCCGCUCUACUUCCGCACAGAGGAAAAUGUAUCCAGAGGCUAAAAUAUAAUCGGAAGUAGCAGCGGUAGUGAAGGGACCGUGGUACCGCUUAUAAGCGGUACUACCGCCCACUAUUGCUGCUCUACUUCCGCUUGAAGGAAUACAAAGAGCAAAACAUAAGCGGUACUCCAUGCGGUAGCUCAUAGUGUAAGUACCGCAUAAGCGGUACUACCGUGGAGCUGGCCGGAACUACCGCUUGGGAGCUAAAAACUGCCCAAGCACAAAAGGAUGCAAGCGAGACCGAAACUGCCAUAACUUCUGCAAAUGAACUCUGAAUUGAGCAAACUCAAGCUUGUUGGAUAGAUGACGACAAAUAGUAAGAAGUGGCAGGGCAAGUAUGCCUAUUAUAUAUAGGAAUGAAACCUCUAUCAGUGAAGAACCAUCAUAUACUCCCACAUCAAAAACAUCAUAGAGGAUGCACAUGAACUCUGUUUCGAAGAACUCGAGCUUGUCAUGAAGAUGACCAUAAGCUAUAAAACUCACAAAGAGAAACACCAAAUAAGAACCAAGAAAGAUGAUGCAAGGAUGCAAUGGUUUGAGCUCUCUACGAACGAUAUGAUCAAGCUACUAACUUGAGAGCCCCCCCUUGAUAGUAUGACAAUCGAUCAUAUAACCCGGUCUCCCAACUACCACCAUGAGACCGGUAAAAUAGAAAACCUAUCAAGGGCAAACCUUUGCCUUGCACAUAGUCCACUUGAGAUAGAUGAUGACGAUCUUGACUUCCACAAGUUGGACCAUGAUAACCCACAAGUAUAGGGGAUUACAGUAGUUUUCGAGGGUAGAGUCACUACUAGGAAAAGGCCUGCUAGUGGCGCACCUGUUUUGGCUACUAAUGGCGCACUACAGGUUCGCCAGUAGCAUCACGCCAUUAGUAAUUAAUACUAAUGGCGCACCCCUGGUGCGCCAUUAGUAUACCAGAUACUAAUGGCGCACCAGAGAGUGUGCCAUUAAUAUAUCACACGGUGCGCCAUUAGUAUGCCUCCCAGGGGGCCAUAUUUACCCAUGUGCUCUGGCUUACUAAUGGCGCACUUGUAGAUGAUGUGCCACUAGUGUGCUUGUUGCAGUGCGCCACUAAAGUGCAGAGUGGUGUGCCACUAGUAUGAAUAUUAGGGAUUUUUUUUCUUUUCUGAUAUUUGCACAUGUUACAAAACAUAUUACUGCACAGAAUAUAGACAACACAACAUAUAAACAGCAGAUUUAUCGAAUACAAUAGAAGAUUAGUCUCCAAAUACAAUUCAUCAUAUUAGUCUCCGAAUUUAAAAUACCAAACAAAGUUAGAACAUUACAAGUCUCGAGACUGCGAGUAGCGGGUUUGUCUUCACAUUACAAGUCGAUAUCGAUCAUCUAAACUACCAUCACAUAGAAGAGAGCUGCGGUCAUCACGAUGAGCAUCAUCACGAUGAAACUGGUCUUCAACCGGUUCCUCCAACGCUCCCUCCUCUCUCCCGCUAGAUAGCGUGUGUAUCUAACUUCCACCUCCGCCCUAGUGGUGUACCCUUUGUAACUGUUAUCGCUGAAACAGUGAACCUGUCUCCAACACUCCUCCCAGUCGUCGUAGACUCCGGGAACCUUACCCUUGUACACAACAUACGAUGACAUAUCUAUGCACUAGCUAAACAAAAUGUUAGUAGCAAUUCACAGACAAUACAUAAGCAAUAUAUAAGUAUGCAACAAAAGGAUCGGAAGAGAAAAGCAACACAUUAAUAGCACGAUUCAUGGUCCUACUAAUAAAUAGCAUCGAUUACAUAUAAGUUGAACGACUAUCCAAACCAAAGAGACAUACAAGUUCAUUAAAGUUUAAUAUUACAACAUGAGCCAAUCGACAUUUCAGAACUACAUAGCAUCACUACUUUCGACUCGACUCAGGGACCGGAGGGUGGAUGAAGCCGCCGUCUUUCGUGAUGGUCAUGAAAUUGCGGGCGUUGUCAGCCUGCAUUUGUAGCAUUGUUUCUAUCUCACUGUUGGACAGUUGAUAUCUGAGGUAGAACUGCCCCGAGGUACGAAGGACAUCUUGAUGGAUGAUUUUCGCAAACUCCGACUGGAUGCGAUAGAAUUCUUGUCUGAUGUCUGCGUCCUGGAUUGCCGACAAGCGUGUGGCCCCGUACGAUCGCCCACAUGUGAUGGAGGGCAUAGUAGGCAUCCUUUUGACUUCCAGGCGGCUGAUUGACGUAGAGGAACAUCGUAUUGUGGGUGAACAUGUGCUUGCCGUACCUACGAAUUGUCCUGGUGAAGGUGCCUCCAGAUCUGGCGUAGCCGGGAAGAACAUCAUCAAGAACUUUCUUGAUAUUUGUGUAGUCUUUCUUCGACUGACGGUCUGAGUCGAAAUACAUGGCCAUGGAAUAUUUCAGGCUUAAGAGGAUGAGUGUGCAACAUGUGUCACUGCACAAAACACGGAAUGUUAGAAAAAAAAGAACGAUCAAAAUCUAAGAAAUCAUAUGUUACGGGGCGGUGAGGGGAUGACUUACUCGGGAAAGUAAGGCACGAGGAAGUUAUCCUUAUCUGGGUUUGCCAGAAUGACGCCUUCGAGGUGUGAACUCGCGACUUGCCGGUCCCCAGCGCUGCCCAAGAUCUUGGCACGCAUGUAGAAGGGGUCGACUAUCACGAUGUCCGGGGUCUUGUAUCUAAUAAUCCGCAUCUCCAUACUCAGCGAAAAUAGCCGAAUGAAGGUGUAGUGCAGCGGAUGAAGGUUAAACAUAGUGAAGAUGUCAUCAAACCACAGGACGAUUGUACCCCCGAUGGCGCUAUCCACAAAGCCCUUGCCCUCUGGCACCUUGGCCACAAAAAUCGGGUAUGCCACAUCAUUCUCGAAAAGACGCUGCUUCUCCAAAGAAAGAACACUGUCAUGCAGACUCUGCAUAGCACCGGUUGCAGCAUUGAGCAGAUUAGUCGGUAGCAUCGGCCUACCCGCCACAUGCACCCUCCUCGAGAUAUCCUUAGGUGAAGGUGGCCCGUCCUGAGAACGGAUCGUACUCGGUGCCGGCUGGCUCGCACCGCCCUUGUUAUUCUUUUGUUUCCGUCCCAUCUUCUUCUGAUGUAAUGGGAUCGAGUUCUGCUCAGAGACCGCCUUCUUGAGUGUGUUGGGGCUGAUAAUAUUUCGCACCUCAACUAUCUGAGGCUCGGUGAAGGCGGCAGCUGGAGGUGUCUCCUGAGAACUAAACGCCAGAUGACGCCUGUUGCAAUUGGGUUUCUCCGUGGUACCAGCUAGACUGCGGUCGUCUUUUGCAGGGUUGGGUUCUUGAGAAGGAGGCCCCAAGAAUUCGUCACUAUACCCAUGUUCGGCAAAGUACUUAUCAACGUUGGUAAAUGUAUCGUCGUUGUCAUCGUCGUCGUUUGGAUCCUGUGCCAUAUGCAUGUCCGGCAUGUCCAGUAGCGUUGCGGCGGUCUUGCCAUGGCUUGGCACCGGCACGACUAGCGGUGUUGUCCGUGGGGUGCUGUCCCCCGCCCCCAAACGAAUUUGGCUCUUCAGCCAAAGCAGGGGCCAGCUUACGCAGGCGCUGAGGGUCAUCAAAUCAUCUUCGUCGGCCCCAGUGGGUCGAAUCAGAGGUAAAAACUCGUCGUAGCCUGGCAGCACCCGAACCAGUUCAACCAUAUACACGGUGGGUGGCAUCGGAUUACCGUGGAACACGGGGUUGCCCGGUUGAACGAUUCUGCCCUUGGCAACAUCGAUCAACUCGCCGCCCACGAAGUGCAGGAGAGUGCAUGGAAUGUCGGCGGCACCCUGUGAAAACAUGUAGGGCGUCAGGGAUGCCCAGUCAAAGGCAAGGAGAUGAAGUCAUCGGCCGAGAGGCUUAGUUACCGUGAUGGCGUCGAUCUCGGCUAAUGUCGAGGCACCGCCAAUGGCGGGCAUGCAACUGACGGAGGGGCCGCUUGCUGCCGAGGUGCCGGCCGGCGUACACCCGGGUGCAUUAAGCUCCAAUGCCCGUGCCGGCGCCGGAGACACCAAUACCGCCUCCGCCAGAGACACCAAUGGCGCCACCUGCGCGUUGUGCGCGUUGCUGGCCGUGAAGCUGGGAACCGGGGGCGGCCCCUGUUGGCCGCCCACAAUCCACGCCUGCAGCCCCUCAAUCAAGGUAGGCACAAUGGCGGUGAGCGUCGUUCCCAGUUGGUGUUGCACUAGCUCUUGGACCAUCUCCGGAAUCCGCACCACUUGUGCCUUGAGUUCUUGAACCUUGCGCGACUGGCUUUCUGAGCUGGUCUUUCUCUCCUUUCGCCCACCUGCGUUAUAGUAUGACGACCAUUUUGUGGACAAGCCUUUGUCGGCCACACGACCAGCUGAUGACGGCUUACUGAACUUAUCCUUGUUUUUCAUUAUGUUGAACGCCCUAUUUAAAGUGUUGUCCCAAGGGGAGCUCUGAGACGACCCCGCGCUACUGCUUUCAGUCUCCCGCGGAAGGAAUGUGAACCAUUUAGAAAUUUGGCUUCAUUAAUUAGAAUGCAACCAUAUGGAGCUAAUUACGCGGGGGUGUAUUCCUUACCAGAACACGCUCAAGCGCCUUGGUCUUCGCAUCCGUGGUAAGCUCCUUUGUUACUGGGUCCUCCUUGUACCGGUCCCUGACAUAGUUCCUGGUCUGCUUGUCACAGUAUUUCUCGAAGCGGGGCGGUAGGCCUUGCUCGGCACGCUCCGCAUCCUCCUUGUCCCAUAUAAGUUCCGCCACUCUGUAACCGCCGGGACCGAGUUGGUGGACCCCUAAAUUCAAGUCCCGCAUUUCUUUCCUCCACUGACUUGAUUCCACGGUCGUGCUUCUCUCACACUUGAUCUUGAACUCCUUGUAGUCAUCUUCGUUGAUCGAAGGAUUUUUCGCCUUGAUCUUCUCAUAACUAUCACCUUUGUCAAUCAUUCUCUUCACCGCGCUUCUCCAAGUAGACAGGGCCGUGCUCAUCUUCAUGAGGGCGGCACUGUUCACUUUAUUCCCUGAGAGGCGUUUGUUUGCAAAAUCAGCGGGGAACUUGUAUCGUUCGUGUAGCUUCAUGAAGAGGAGGCUGCGCAAAUUCCCUCGGUCAGGAUGCCUUAGGUUCUCGGUGUUGAUCGAGACGGUGCUCCGAAGAAUGCACCCGAGCUGAACCGAGUACCCCUUGACUAAUUCUUUGGGCACCGUUGGAUGCCCGUCGGAGGACACUUCAGUAAAUUCCUCCUUGACGGUGCCGAGCAUGUUCGGGCGCCGGUCCUUCUGUUGCCUCUUUGGUUGGCUGCCAUCUGUGUGUGCGCUGCCAUCAUCAGUGGUGGCAUCCUCGGCGGCACCAUCAGUGGUGUCAUCCCCGACGCCACUAGGGGUUGUGUAGUCAGGAUCGGUGUCUUCCGCGGCAUCCUCAUAGCGGUGAGGUUCUUCCUCCAUCUCUUGGGACAGCUCACAGAAUUGCUUGCCCGAACCGCCGGCCUCAUCGUUGUGGGCCAUGUUUUGCUCUAAAUAGGAAAGAAGUUUGGUCAAAAAGUUGGUUAUUGUCAAGGAACAAGAUCAUGGUCUCAUCAUUUAGGAUUUAUCGACAUCGAGGCAUCCUAAAAGCUAAGCUUUUAUCGUUUAGGGUUUGUCGACGCCGUGGCACCCUAAAAGCCUAAGCUUUCAUCAUUUAAGUUUUUAUCGACACCGAGGCACCCUAAAAGCCAAGGUUUUAUAAUUUAGGGUUUGUCGACGCUGAGGCACCCUAAAUGCUAAGUUAAGUUUUCAUCAUUUAGGGUUUAUCGAUGCCGAGGCACCCUAGGUUGACUGAUAUAUAUGGGUAUCUUCUAAUAAUAUACCCUAUCAAGAAAAGGGAAGGAUAAUUCUAAGUUGGGCCAAAUCACUUGGCUCUAUUACCACCUAUGGUUUAAUGCAGCAAGAAUAAAGGGGCAGUUGAUCCUACUUAAUUAAGUACUAAGAUACCCCGACCCAUGCAUUAGUCGCAAGUACCCCAUAUGUCCUAUUUUUAGCAAAGUCAUGCUAAAAUUCACGGAAAAUUUCAGCAUGACCUUUGCUGAAAAUAGGACAUAUGGAGUACCCAAAUUUGCCGGAACGGAAGUUAAUCGACAUUCCGGCAAACUCAAGGGCCUCUCAGGGUACCUGCAAAAUCAUUAUCCCCGCGUAAUGAAGUAGCCAAUGGGUCAUUUCAAAAUAUCACAAGUAGCAUCAUCACAAGUACAACAUCAUCACAAGUACAGCAGCAGUAGCAGUGAAUACAGGCAUAACAGCAGCAGCAACAGGUUUAUUCUUCUUCUUCAUAAACACUAGUUGUCUAAUUGAGCAAUACAGCGACAGUGUGAACAAAUAAAAACACAAACUACACCUACAUAUUUGGGUACCUCUAUGGUAGUAACAUGCCAUGCUCUGCCUAGAGCUACUGCAGCAAUCAUUGUUAUACAUUUCUCUGAAUAGUAUAUAUGGCUUGAAAUGGCAGAACAGGUUACAGUAAUUAGAUGAAUGAAAUGCAUAAGUGUCGAAUCAAAACAAUAUAAAAAAUACCAUGUUCCCUAUGCUGUUUUGAUACACGAUAUGGGUGAAGUGACAUGACACUUCCAAAAACAAGGAUACAACAAUCACUGGUCCCAAAUGAUAAUACAAGGUGGUGUAGAUCUCUAAGGAGCGGCAUUAAAAGGGAAGGGCAUGCGGCAAGAUGCCAUCAAGCUCCCAGCAACAAUGGUCGGGGAGCAUGUCCACAUUAUGCAUGAGAGGAAGGCUUGUAUACAUUAUAAAGUAUGUUUUAAAUAUUUAAACAUCGACAUGAUUCAGAUACUGAGAAAAAUAGAAUGGAAUCAUUGUUAUAGGAUGCAACAGCUAUGACAACUCACUGAAGUAUCAGGGAAAUCUUUACCUAGCAACACAAGUUAAUAGGCUGAUAUUUUCUCCAUAUUUUUAUUGAAAAGGAAGUUCAAACCUCCUGGCAGUCACAAGUGACAGGAGCUGUGCCUACCACUAGGAUGACCACUUUAAUUUUUUUGCUUCUUUUUUUGAGAUAGAAGCACUUUCAGUCUCAGAAACAAAGAUCACACAGCUUUAUAAAAUCAACUUUACAGGAAGUAUUCGUGUAAGGAAACAUUAAUAAGUAUCUAAGUGUUUUUAGUUCAUUUUAUACAAAAGACAAACAACAACCCUUUUCUUUUGCAUCGGAAGAAAAUUCUAGUACUAUGUGAUAAGCUUUAGAAAAUGGAGUACUUACAGCAACUAUGCAGGCAAUCAAUCCAGGCUUCUCCCGGUGAUCCAAAGAAACAAAGAAUAGAAGAAAAGCACCAAUAUACCAGAGAAUUGCAGCCAAGAAGAACCCUAGUAAGAACCUUCAAAACAAAACCAACCUAAAGUCUUUAAUAUGGAUUGAUUGUGCUUUCAUUUUAAAUUUGCAGGUAAGAACAAUGAACUUAUAGAAACUCCUUAAUAUGAAUAUUAUACCGAUGAUAAAAGAUGUCAGAUUACUAGUAGAUAGCAAAGCAGUAGACAACACACUCAGAAGUAACCAUGCCAGUUUAGGAUAAUCCUCUGCUGAUGCAUCAACUUAUAUCCUAAUCCAAUUCCAGUACCAUUUGAUCGCACCAUAUAUUAUAAAUAUGGCCAUGGGCCCUUACCAACCUGACCAAUACGAGUACUAGCACCUCACAAAUUCUCACUAGCAAGCAUAUCUUCCAAAUGCUGCUCGCCGAACUUGUUAAUGAAACAGUUACUCAUGCAAUCCCCCAUUCACAUACCAAGUACUCAUACAGUCGUACUGAACCAAGUGCUCAUGUUGUUACCUUCUUCAAGAGCUUCCUAAUUUUGCCACACCGAUCACAUUGGAGACAAACACCACCAAAAUGAAGGACACUUACAAAGCCCAGCCAACGCCGACGCCAUAGAACGGCAGUCGCGGCUCCCGGACUGGGAGGCCCUCCACCAAGACCUGCUGUUGGAUAGUGCACGGGAAAGCAACAACGCCCUGAGCAGGAAAGUGCUGCUGGAUAGUGCAGAGGCAGGGAAGUGUUAGUACCUGUAGAGAAACCUAGGGGGAAGGAGGGGAGGAGAGAGGAGGAAUCACCUAGAGGAGAACGGCAGGCAGCUGUAGGAGGACGCUGGCGUCGAGGAGGCUGCGGGCGGUGGCGCGUCGAGGAGGCGGCACGUUCUUGCUUCCCCAAGGACCGAGACGGCGAGGCGGGCCGGUGGCAGCGUUGGAACCCUAGCGUUGUUCGGUCGGAGCACCUCGUCGGAGAGGGCGCGACGGUCAUCAGAGCGAGCGAGAGGGUCGUCAGAGCGGGUGUGGAGCGGGCGCAGGGAUCAUCGGAGCGGGUGUGGCGAGGGAGGGAAGGGGGAUCUGGCGAGGGAGGGACGAAGGGGGAUCGGGCGAAGGGGGGAUUAGCUAGAGGGGGGAAGGUUAGUAAUGGCGCACCCCCUAGCGGUGCGCCAUUAGUAAUCUUUUUUUGGAUAGCGAUGUCGCACCUCCUGGCAGUGCACCAUUAGUAAUCUUUUUUUGGAUAGNNNNNNNNNNNNNNNNNNNNNNNNNNNNNNNNNNNNNNNNNNNNNNNNNNNNNNNNNNNNNNNNNNNNNNNNNNNNNNNNNNNNNNNNNNNNNNNNNNNNNNNNNNNNNNNNNNNNNNNNNNNNNNNNNNNNNNNNNNNNNNNNNNNNNNNNNNNNNNNNNNNNNNNNNNNNNNNNNNNNNNNNNNNNNNNNNNNNNNNNNNNNNNNNNNNNNNNNNNNNNNNNNNNNNNNNNNNNNNNNNNNNNNNNNNNNNNNNNNNNNNNNNNNNNNNNNNNNNNNNNNNNNNNNNNNNNNNNNNNNNNNNNNNNNNNNNNNNNNNNNNNNNNNNNNNNNNNNNNNNNNNNNNNNNNNNNNNNNNNNNNNNNNNNNNNNNNNNNNNNNNNNNNNNNNNNNNNNNNNNNNNNNNNNNNNNNNNNNNNNNNNNNNNNNNNNNNNNNNNNNNNNNNNNGCGGUGGAGCGGGGAAGGGUGCGGGGGGUCGGCAGCGGCGGUGGAGCGGGGGAGGGUGCGGGGGGUCGGCGGCGGCGAGGAGGAUCUGAUGAGGGGGGGUAGCGAUCGAGAUGGAGGGGGAUCUGGCACGGGGGGUGCGCCAUAAGUAACUUUUUUAUUAUUACUUUUAGUUGCGUCUAAUAUUUUUUUAGAAAAUGACGAUCAAAUUUGAAAAAAAUUAUGAAUGUGAAAAAAUAUGAUCAAAUUUGUUAUUUGAAAAUAUUUAUGAAUAUAAAAAAAUAUCAUCAAAUUUGUUAUUUGAAAAAAUCAUCAAAUUUGUUAUUUAAAAAUAUCAUCAAUAUUUUUUUUGGAUUUUUAGUUGCAUUCAUUUGUGAAUUGGUAAAACAUUUAUGAAUAUGAAAAAAUAUCAUCAAAUUUGAAAAAAUAUUCAUGAAUUCAAAAAGUGCCCAUGAAAUUUAAAAAUAUUCAUGAGUUCAAAAAAUAUUAACAAAUUCAAUACUUUUUGUGAGUUAGAAAUUCAAUACCAUAAUAAACAUAAAUAAAUAUUCAUGAGGACACUAGAACGGAAGAAAUAUCAUUUCAAUAUCUCGAAAUACAAUCGAGAAAUGAAGGCUACAAUUUACAUACAAUCGAUCUUAGCUAGCUAUAUGUUCACAAUCUACUUUCCCUUAUUUUUCGCAAAUGGAGUUCUUCUCUUGAACGGACGCCCUUUAGGUAAGGUGGUCCUGCUUCUUCUUGUGGUGUAUGCUGGUACUUCAUCAUCGUCGUCAUGUUCCAUCUUCGGGUGGCCGUACUUGUCGAAGUCUUGCUCAUUGGCGACUCCAUCCAUUUCGAUGAUCUUCCUUUUGCCUCUCCUCACGACGACACGACUGGGCUUUGACGGGUAGGUAAUGAAGAAGCAUUGGUCCACUUGGGAAGCUAGUACCCGUGGCUCAUUUUUCGCGGUGACGUUUGCGCCCGCGGUCUUGGAUUUGGCUUCGGGUAUAACCAUGGUGGUGAAAUACCGAUCUUCUUUUAGGAAGCUCUUGGCCCAUCUGACAGGGAACAUCAGGACCUUCUCUCCAGCGUAGCUCAGCUCCCAGAUCUCCUCGAUCCUUCCGUAGUAUCUGUCCUUGUCGUUACCGGUGUAGGAUUCCAUUGUUACCCCGGAGUUCUGAUAACCAUCGCUCUUCAUGUCCUUUCCCUCGGUGUAGAAUGUGUAGCCAUUGAUAUCGUACGCCUCAUACGUCAUCAGAUUGUGCUCGGCGCCCUAUGACAAGGUGAAUAUGAGUUGUUCUUCCGCGGAAGAAUCCUCAUGUAAAGGGUACGACAGAAGCUUCUGCUUGAACCAACGCGUGAAACAUGAGUUGUGCUCUUUGAUUAUAUCUCCGUUCAUCCUCUGUUGGCCUCAGUCAUUGUACGUCUUCUCAAUAAAGGUUUUGUGCUCUACCACCCAAGGAUCGACCAUGUCUAUGUGUUGUAGCGCGACUAGGUUUGCUCUUUCAAAGUCGGCGAGUCGACCCUCGAAGUCGAGAUGCAUUUCACGGCGACCAUCACGGUGACCCCAUCCAGCGAGCCUGCUGAGGUGCCUGUUGAUGGGAAGACCAACGGUGUUCUCGAUGCCUAGAUAAUUCGUGCAGUAGGAGAUGCACUCUUCGGUCAGAAAGCCCCUGGCCAUGCUUCCCUCUGGACGUGACAUGUUGCGAACGUAUCCUUUGAUGACACCAUUCAUCCUUUCGAACAACAUCAUGCUGUGCAGGAACGUCGGCCCGAGUUGGAUGAUAUCCUCCAUGAUAUGGACCAGCAGAUGCACCAUAACGUCGAAGAAUGCGGGCGGGAAGUACAUCUCAAGCUCGCAUAGUAUCACCAUGAUCUCUUCAUGUAGCCUUCUGAGUUGCCUCACGCCAACCGACUACUGAGAGAUGACGUCGAAAAAGUUGCAUAGGACAAAUAGCGUUUCACGGACGUGCGCGUCCAUGAUCCCACGGAUUGCAACUGGAAGUAUCUGCAUCAUCAGCACGUUACAGUCGUGAGACUUCAUCCUGCUGAACUUCUACUUCGCUGAGUCUAGGUAUCUGCUUAUCUUCCCCGCGUAACCGUAAGGAAGUUUUACUCCUACGAGGCAGGUGAAAAACUGAUUGAUCUCCUCCUGACUUAGAGUGAAGCAUGCGGGAGGGAAGUCAUUUCCGGUCUUCUUGGCCUUUUUGCCUUUGCGACGACUUUCCGUGUCCUGCUUCGCCUCAUCAUCAUCAUCAUUAGCGUGAAGCUCCUCCCUGAUGCCCAUUGAUUUCAAGUCUGCCCUUGCUUUCGGCCCAUCUUUGGUCCUCUCUGGCAUGAGCAGGGUACCAAGCAGACUCUUACACACGUUCUUCGUGAUAUGCAUGACAUCAAGGCUGUGAGGCACACGGUGGAUCUUCCAGUACAGCAAGUCCCAGAAAACAGACCUCGUUUUCCAUACCUUCAGCAGCGGCUCUGGUGCCUUUCGCUUCUUUCCCAGCUCUGGCGCCUUUUGCUUCUUUCCCAGCAGUGGGCAAUCUUUCCAAUUUUUCAAUAGCUCGUCUAUUUCCUUGCCACUCCUCGUACGCGGGCGUCUUCGGGGUUCGGUUUCACCAUCGAACAUAUCCUUGCGUUUCCUCCAUGAGUCAUCAUCGCAAAGCCACCUUCGAUGUCCCAUGAACACGGUUUUUGAAGACCCGGGAUUUCUAUCUAGCUGGCGAUACGUUGUGUCAUCCAUGCACCUGACGCAUCCAGAAAAUCCGUGGACCACCUUCCCCGCGACAUAUCCGUAACCGAGAUAGUCCUGCACCGUCGUGAGCAGUGCGACUCUCAUAGGGAAAUAUUCUUUCUCUGCGGCGUCCCACAUAUUGGCUGGCGUUUUCCAUAGCGUGUCUAGCUCCUCUUUCAGCAGCCCCAUAUACAGAUUGAUGCCAUUCCCUGGUUGUUUCGGCCCUUCAAUUAGCAUACUCAUGUGAAUGUACUUCCUCUUCAUGCACAACCAGGGGGGAAGGUUGUAUAUCCACACAAACACAGGCCAGGUGCUAUGUGUGCUUCUCUGGCUGCCAAACGGAUUGACUCCAUCGGUGAUCGCGCCCAGUAUGAUGUUCCUUGGAUCGUUCCCAAAUUCUGGGUGUUCGAAGUUCAACGCUUGCCGCUGGCUCGCAUCCUUAGGGUGACUCAGCAUCUUGUCUUUUUUAUUUAUCUCUGGAUCAUUUGCGUCAUCUUCUCACUUCUUCUCCUCCCUAUCCGCGUGCCAACGCAGGAGCUUUGCUACCUUAGGGUCCGCGAAAUACCGCUGCAGACGAGGAGUGAUCGGAAAGUACCACACCACUUUUCAAGGAGCUUUCUUCCUCUUCUUGUAUCGAGUGACGCCGCACACCGGUCAUAUGGUAGACUCUGCGUGCUCAUCCCGAUAAAUGAUGCAAUUGUUCAUGCACACAUGGUAUUUCACGUGUGGUAAAUCCAGAGGACACACGAUUUUCUUCGCCUCCUCGAAACUGGUCGGGCACUUGUUCCCCUUGGGAAGACGUUCGUGCCAGAAUGACAUGUUCUCGUUGAAGCAUGCGUCGGUCAUUUUGUGUUUUACCUUCAUCUCCAGAGCCAUGAGCAUUACUUUCAGGCAGGUAUCCUCGGGCCUGCAUCCUUCAUCCAAUGGAGUAACCACGUCUAUCUCCAGUUGAUCCAUCUUGGCUUUCUCUCGGGCGGCAGCUCUUGCGUUAUCGGUCUACUUGAGAAGCAGCUCUUGAAUAUGAGGGUCCUGCACCCAGCCCAUCGAUGGGCCAUCGUCGUCUGCUCCGACAUCUUCAUCUUCAUGAUCAUGCCCUUUGUCUACUCUAGCAUCUUCCUCAUCAUCAUGUACGGCAUCUUCUACAUGAUGACUGUGUACUGCAUCUACUUCAUGAUCAUGUCCUGGAGAUUCUUCGUCUUCUCGCCCGCCCUCGUCGCAGUUGUCUUGCUGCCCUUCCUCAUUUCUUGCCCGGCCCCCAUGGACGACUUCAUAAUCAUCUUCAUCACCUUGCCACCGAUAGCCAUCCAUGAAACCACGCAAGAGCAGGUGGUCCCACACCUGUACAGAAUCCGGGUCCAUAAGGCUCCUUAGCUUGCAUCUUCGACACGGACAUCUUAUCUCCGUCUCGUUCUUUUGAAGCAUCUCGGUCUUCGUGGAGCUCAAAAACCUAUUCACGAUGCCUUCGGUCAUCGUGUGGACCAUGGUCGCCUGCGGGGUAGAGCAAAACGAUAUUUUAGAACCAAGAAAUUUUUUGGCAUGACUUUGCCUAAAAAUAGGACCAAAAAGAAUGCAUAGUGCCAAAUUCUCGCCGAAACGGAAAUGAACAUUCCGGCAAAAUAUUGGCAACUAUCGCAUUUCAAAUACUGGUACCUGCAAACACAAACAUAUAUGCAACACCACAAAUAUAUGCAACACCACAAAUAUAUGCAACACCACAAACAUACAUAGAUCUAGCUAGGCCAUAAAAAGUGCAUGUGCACGUUGUUGGAGGGAGGAAAAAAAGUAGAUCUACAACAUAAAGAAAGCUUUCCCCUUACUUACCUAUCAAAAAAAGGUAAUUUAACCACUUAAUUUGGAUGAAUCUAUGGUGCAAAUGAGGUGAGGAGGAGGAGGCAGCCGAGACAAGCUUGGAGGAGGUGGUGGAGAGAAUGAAGUGGGGAAAGUGAGUGUGUAGGUGGCUGUCCAAAAUAUCUACCUGGUCCCAGGUUACUAAUGGUGCACCACCUACAAAUGCACCAUUAGUAACCCUGGUUACUAAUGGCGCACUAGCUGAUGGUGCGCCAUUAGUAGUUUUGCAAAAAAAAUGAUAGUAGUGGCGCACGGGGUGAGUGGUGCGCCAUUACUAGUUAAAACUAGUAAUGGCGCACUGUGCCCUGGUGCGCCAUUAGUAUUUUUGGAAAAUAAUAAUAAUAAAUUGUUAGUAGUGGCGCACCGUGGGUGUGGUGCGCCAUUAGUGUCCAUCACAUUAAUGGCGCACCAACACAUGGUGCGCCACUGCUAUAUAGUAGUGGCGCACCACAUGACUGGUGCGCCAUUAGUGUCCAUAUUAUCUAUAGCCCUUUUCCUAGUAGUGAGUAUUCAACCCAAUUUAUUGAUUUGACACAAGGGAAUCCAAAGAAUAUUUGCAAGUAUUAGCAGACGAGUUGUCAAUUCAACCACAUCCAAAGAUUUAUUAUCUGCAACAAUAUGAUCAGUAGCAAAGCAAUAUGAUAGUUUUGAUAGUAGUAGCAAUAGCAAUAGUGAUGAUAACAAUGAUAGCGAUUUUGUAGCAAGUAUAACGGUAACAACAACAGUAGUAACUUAGCAAGAACAAUAUAAGAGAAAUUUGUAGGCAUUGGAUCAGUGAAUUCGUUGGAUGAUAUUCAUCAUAUAACAGUCAUAACCUAGGGUGAUACGACAGUAGCUCCCGUUCAUAAAUAUAAUGUAGGCAUGUAUUUCGUAAAUUGUCAUACAUGCUUACGGAAAGAACUUGCAUGACAUCAUUUGUCCUACCCUCACGUGGCAGCGGGGUCCUAUUGGAAACUAAGGGAUAUUAAGGCCUCCUUUUAGUAGAGAAUUGGAACAAAGCAUUAAUACAUAGUUAAUACAUGAACUCCUCAAACUACGGUCAUCACCGGAAAGUAUCCCGACUACUGUCACUCUGGGGUUUACGGAUCAACACGUAAUAGGUGAAUAUAACUUGCAAGAUCGGAUCUAGAACAUAGAUAUAAUGGUGAUAACAUAAACAAUUCAGAUCUGAAAUCAUGACACCCGGGCCCAAAGUGACCAGCAUUAAGUAUGGCAAAGUCAUGUCAACAUCAAUCUCAGAACAUAGUGGAUACUAGGGAUCAAGCCUUAACAAAACUAACUCGAUUACAUGAUGGAUCUCAUCCAACUCCUCACCGACCAGCGAGUCUACGAAGGAAUUACUCACUCCCGGUGGGGAGCAUCAUGGAAUUGGCGAUGGAGAAGGGUUGGUGAUGACGAAGAUCGCAAGAUCCCCCUCUCCAGAGCCCCAAAUGGACUCCAGAUCUGGCCUGCUGAUGAAGAAUAGGAGGUGGCGGCGGCUCCGUCUUGUGAAACGCUAUAAUACUUUCUCCCAGAUUUUUUUCUCUGAAAAUAUGAUUUUAUAGUAUCAGGGUUGAGGUCUGCAGGGCCACCAGGUGGGGAAAACCCACCUGGGCGCGCCAGGAGGAGGGGCACUGGUGGGUUGUGCUCACCCUAGGGCCCCCCUCCGGUGGUUCUUGGCUCCAGUAUUUUUAUAUAUUCUGAAAUAAUUCUUCAAAAAGUUUCAUUCCAAUCUAAGAUUUUUUAUUUCUGCACAAAAACAACACCAUGGUAAUUCUAUUGAAAACAAUGUCAGUCCGGGUUAGUUUCAUUCAAAUCAUGCAAAUUAGAGUCCAAAACAAGAGUAAAAUUGUUAGAAAAAGUAGAUACGAUGGAGAUGUAUCAGACCGCCUUUCUUGAUUGCGUUGGCUGAAUGAAGACUAGUUGAUUGCUCCCCCAUACUCCAUAAUGGGUGAGCCACUCUUCGGCACAUCUUCAUAACUCCAUUGUCACCAUAAUGGAUGGCAAGAAACAAGCAUGAGAUCUCUUCGUGAUGCUCCACUUGAACUUGCACACCGCAAUCUUGAUGAUGAUCACCACUUGAUGUCAUCCUCCAUGGGUUAUAUAAUAUCUUCCUUUUGAUGCACGACCAUGGAAACAUACCGAAGCCCACAAACAACUCGUAGACCAUGGGUUAGUACACAAAAACUAAUGGACAAUGCUAAUUAUACCAUGGGAUCACUUGAUCCCUCUCGGUACAUGUUGUAUGCUUUGUGUGUUGAUCAACUUGAUUCACUCUUUGACUUGGUCUUGAUCAACCUUGUAUCAUGUCUUCUACAUGACCAAUCUUUGGAUAAUUCCUUGAAUAGCACAUUGAUCAUCACAUAAACUCCUUGAAACGAACACAUGGACUUUAAGAAAUGCUUAUGGGCAAAUCCUUCAAAUAUAGCUCAAGGCAACCAUUAGUCCAUAGAGAAUGUCAUCAAUUACCAAAACCACACAUGGGGGCACCAUGCUCUUUCAAUGUUGAUUUCAAGAUGACACCAAAUACACCUAGUCUUCGCAACAACACAAUUCAAGAGCUACCUACUGUGAGGAUGCAUGCACCAAUAUUCUUUUUUAAAACAAGAUAUAACCUCACCAAAGCAGUCAAUGAACAAGAAAACAUCAACAUCAAUCACCAACAUUGGCAACCCCUGAGAAACAUUCUCCAGCAAUGAUGUCUCUAGGAAGGGAAGGAGCAGUGCACAAUUACCGUCACAGUACAAGUAAUGAAGCUACACGUUAAGUUUAUUGCCAUCAUAAUACACACUUCAGCUUUUUGGUGAACUAUCCAUGCAAAGCACCAUCUCAUUCGCCAAAAGCUCCAGCUGAAAGAGAGGGCAAAUCAUUAUACUCUAACAAUCUUCUUCUAUCUAUGCUCCAUUGAAAUUACAGUGUGGGUAUUGGAAGCUAUGUUUUGCGAUUCGAAAGCAAAAUAAUAAUAAUCUAGACCUUAUAGAAAAAUAAGCAGUAAUUGCAAAAUGUUGAUACGGAGGACUAAAUCCCAGAUAGAGAUGUUUGAAAAUUUCAAGUCCCAGUCCCAUUUUUGUCAAGUAGUAACCGCAACACCUUCUAUGCUUUACUUCCUACCUACCACCUCACCGAAAGAAUCAAUUUCUGUCAUUUUACUAAGAAACACAAAACUGUGAAUAUAAUAGGGAGGGCUACACUUAUUUGUCUAGUUAUUUCUUUAUUGUAAACUAUAUGCAUCCAACCAAUUCACGCAUUAGUUCAAUGAUUUUAUCUCAAGUAAACCAUAAUGAUGAAAUAUGUCAUAGUUGAACUAUUAGGUUUUGUGACAAAUGGCAUAACGGACUUCCUUUGGAAAUCCUUUCUCUCAACUAAGCAAGUUUAUGGGGCUUCUACGCGAGGUACAACUCCCACAAACAAACUAGGUUACAAUGUGUUCAACCGCCUUUCUAGAAACCAUUGAAGCACCAAAUACAAGAUUAUAUGUUCACUAGGGAGAUACUGCAUUCAGUUCGUCAGGGUUUGUAUAGCAUUCCUAGGUGAAUGGUUUGACUCAUACCUGACAUGCACCGCGUAUUGAAACCUUGAGACAUAAUGUCGAAAAACACAAAUUGAUAGCUAACUAUAUUAGAUCUAGAAACAUCGACCCUCAUUUUUUUAAUCAUAAAGUGAUUUUACAAACCCCCGACAUGUUGUGUUUGGCGUGUACACGUAAUAGAUUAAUGGGCCUAGCAAAAAAACAAGACAAAUGCUAGGGAUGUAUGCCUCUGUUUUUUUAUUUACCCCGCAUAUUAGUUUAACUGAAGUCAAAUGUUAUAAAGUUUGACCAAGUUUGUAGGAAACAAUAGGAACAUUUAACAUAAAAAACCUAUGUCCUGUGAAAAUAUAUUCAAUGAUGAAUCUAAUGGUAUUGAUUUGUGGUGUAUAUGUUACUAUAUUUUUGUACCACUGUCGGUGUUAAAACCGGCGGAUCUCGGGUAGGGGGUCCCGAACUGUGCGUCUAGGCGGAUGGUAACAGGAGACGAGGGACACGAUGUUUUACCCAGGUUCGGGCCCUCUUGAUGGAGGUAAAACACUACGUCCUGCUUGAUUAAUAUUGAUGAUGUGUGCUACAAGAGUAGAUCUACCACGAGAUCAAGGAGGCUAAACCCUAGAAGCUAGCCUAUGGUAUGAUUGUUGUUCGUCCUACGGACUAAAGCCAUCCGGUUUAUAUAGACACCGGAGAGGGUGUUACACAGAGUCGGUUACAAUGGUAGGAGAUCUACAUAUCCGUAUCGCCAAGCUUGCCUUCCACGCCAAGAAAAGUCUCAUCCGGACACGGGACGAAGUCUUCAAUCUUGUAUCUUCAUAGUCUUGGAGUCCGGCCGAUGAUGAUAGUUCGGCUAUCCGGACACCCCCUAGUCCAGGACUCCCUCAGUAGCCCCUGAACCAGGCUUCAAUGACGAUGAGUCCGGCGCGCAUAUUGGCUUCGGCAUUGCAAGGCGGGUUCCUCCUCCGAAUAAUUUAUAGAAGAUUGUGAACACCAGGAUAGUGUCCGGCUCUGCAAAAAUAAUUUGCACAUACCACCAUAGAGAGAAUAAUAUUUCCACAAGUUCAAUCUGCUGACGUAUUUGAUGGCAUGACGUCACACCGCUACCAAGCCUUUACUUAAAUCGUUUUUAUUGUACCACCUCAGCGCGUUUAGCGAAGCGGUUUCCUUGGCACGUCUUGUCGAAGCAGAGAUCAUGUUCCCCUUAUUCCGGGAUUCCCAUCAAUACGGACGUGGGUAACCCAACCGCGCCAUUGAUUGCGGCGCUUGGGGGAUAAGCGAGUUUUAUCAGGCCGGUGGGGACGCAUGUUUUCGUCCGCCCAUAUAAGGGGAUAAAGAUCCAACCCUAUUACCUGCGCCUUCUUCCUCCUUGGCUUACCCAUCUCUGCGAACCCGAGCUCCAGCGCCCAAGCGCGCACAUCUCACCUCAACCUUCUCCAACUAUGUCCGGAGCAGGAGGCAAGUGGAUGGCCUCCUCCAUCACGGAGGGGCAGAUCUAGAAGCUGCGCAACGCCGGAUACUUGUCCAGCGACAUCGCGCACCGGCUCCCCAAUGAGGGAGAGCUCAUCCCCACCCCCAAGCCCCAUGAGAGGGUAGUAUUCCUUCCCCAUUUCCUCCGCGGACUGGGCUUCCCACUCCAUCCCUUUGUCUGGGGGCUCAUGUUCUACUACGGCCUGGAUUUCCAUGAUUUGGCCCCGAAUUUCAUCCUCAACAUCUCGGUGUUUAUCGUUGUGUGUGAGGCCUUCCUCUGCAUCCAGCCCCACUUCGGCUUGUGGCUCAAGACCUUCAGUGUCAAGCCGAAGGUUGUGAAGGGCAGCCAAGCGGAGUGCGGAGGCGCCAUGGUGGGCAGGAUGUCCCAUGUUACUUAGCUCGAGGGAACUUUCGUGGAAACCAUCAAGGGGUGGCAAUCGGGGUGGUUCUACAUCACCGAGCCGCGUGAUCCCGAAUGGGCAGCGGUCCCCGAAUUCAGAUCCGGCAUCCCCACACGGCUCACCUCCUGGAAAGAGAGCGGCCGGACAUGGGGUGAUUCGGAGGAGCUGACAGGACUCCAAGCUUGUAUCCAAAAGCUAGUGGACAAGAAGCUCAAGCUUGUCAACGUAGUCCAGGUCAUGCUCAUCUGCCAGAUUCUCCCGUGCCAACGACGGGGCUUCAACAUGUGGGAGUUCGAUCCGGCACAGCACCAGACUUUGAAUGGGCUCUUCGACACUACAUACGAAGAUGUCUCGAAGGUGCUAUUCAAGGGCGCCGAAGCUCCCGCAUCCGCUACCGAAGAUCGCGGAUUCAGCUCAGAGCGUCCAGCUGAUGAGGUAAGUUAUUUUGUCCUUUAAGGGACGCUUGUUUUCCAUAGUUUGACUCUAUGCGGGAUCUAAACUCCCUUUCCUUUGACAGGACUAGAUGAAGAAGGCCGAACAGGCUAUCUGUCCGGCCCCAUUGCCAGAGGACCCAGCGGAUGCCCGUUUGACGGGGCUGCUAGCUUCGGCACCCCAUGUGGUGCCGGAGAAGAAGGCCAAGAAGAAGGUCACAGGGACUCGGAAGAGUUCCCGCUUUCAGGUGCUAUCGGAUGACGACUCCGAGGCCGACUCCUCUCACCAAGGUGAGGAGGAGAAGAAGAAAGCCUCUUCCCCAGCGGGGGGAGAGAAGAAAAAGAAGGCCUCCCCAACGAGGGAGGCCGAGGGGUCCAAGAAGGGAAAAACUCUUCCCCCGGACUGCUCUGCCAAUGCCAGUGAUGACGACGAGGACUGGCCUCCAAGGGCCAAGCCCUAGGCGAGAUCGUGAGUAUCCGGACUCCCGAAUAACUUCAUGGUUUAUCUUUUUUGCCACACAAUGUCUUUCUAAUGCCGCAUACAACCCUGCAGUCCGCCCAAGGACGAUCUUCCCGCUUCGUCGAGCGGGUCCUUAGGUGCGUCGGAUAUGGAUUCUCUUCCGACCGCCUCCACCCCCCGUGACACGGACGAUGCCAAGGUGGGAUCCCGGGAAGGGACCCGCCAGGAGGAGGAGGCCCCGGAGGUGUCGCAGGACAACCUCCCGGACUUUGCACCGGACUCGGCUCCGGAUCCCAUAGUGGCUCCGGAGUUCGGCGGGCGGCCCCUUCGUAAGAAGGGCAAGACCGUGACACCGGCAGCCUCCGUCCAACCGAAGGCGCCGGAUAGCUUGCUGGAGGCGCUCAAUGGCGCCUCCAUCAAAGAGGAACACCGCACUGUUAUGAGUGCGGUGAUUUAGAAGGUGCAGCUCGCCAAGAGCGGGCUGACCGAAGCCUGCAACAGCCUUCUAACAGGCUUUGAGGUAAGAAUUUUGAUAUAUGUAAAAUAGUACCGCAUAGACAGUAGCCCCUGAUGCUCGGUUCGGUGUUCGGAAAGAAAAGCCGGACUGAGGAUCUAAGAAGAUAUACGCAGGAGUCAUAAAAAAUAUGUCGAUAUGGGAUUGCAGGCUGCGCUGCUGACCUCUGCCGCACUGACUGCGGAGGUCAAUACUUUGAAGGAAGGCCUCGAGAGGUCCGAGAAUGAGCUCGGCCGUGCCAAGAAGCAGCUCGAGGACAAGGAAGGUGAGUAACACCUUAUUAAAAUUGUACCUUACAGAAAAGGAUUUUGGUUGCAAAAUGAAGGACAAGGAUAACAUGGGUAUUGCAGGGGCCACUAACGAGGUGGCGACCCUGAAAGAGGCGGUGGCUGCGACCGAACACAAUGCGGCCGCGGAGCGCACCGAGCGAGAGAAGCGGGAGGCACGGGUGGCGGAGGUACAGCAAGAGCUCCAGGAUCUCGUGAAAAAACAUGAGAGCCUGGAGCGUGACUCGACGACUCGAGAGUCUGAGCUUGCAACGGCUCUUAAGAGUGCCAAAGCCGCUAAGGCCGAAGCCUACAAGGCCCUCCAGGAAAUCGAGGCGUUGAAGAAAAUAGCAGCGGGUAAGGCAUUUUUCAUGCAAAGUAAGCAUGUGAGUGUUAAUUACCUGUUGCUUACCCGAAUUCGGAGCUCUCCAGGAGCGUUCGCAGAUCUUCCUCGCAGCGUGUCCGAUGCUGCCGCGUUCUACCGGGCCGAGGAGGGGAGCUCGACGGAGAAGGUCUUCUGGUCUCAGUAUGCUGAGGCCGGACAUCCGGUGCCCCUUAGCGACCAGCUAAAGCAGCUGGUCGAGCUCUACAAGGUGGCCGAACAGGCCAUGAAGGGCCUCAUAGUUCGGCUGUGGCCUAAGGAGGCCAUGCCUGGGAGCUACUUCGGCCUGGUGCGGCGGCUGGUGGAUGCGUGCCCGUGGGUCGAAGUCAUCAAGCACUCCGUCUGUAUUGAAGGUGCCCGUCGGGCCCUUGCCCGCUCAAAGGUGCACUGGGGCAAGAUGGAUGCCUAGAAGCUCGUGACGGACCCACCACCGGAGCGCAAGGAGCAUCGCACGCCCGAGAUGUAUUAUAAGAGUGUGCUGAAGGGCGCCCGCACUAUUGCGGGUGAGUGCUCCAAAGAUGUAAUAUUUGAGUAGACUCGCAUUUUGUUAUCCUGUGCGCUGAAAACUUAGUUCAUUUGCGCUAAGCAACGUGUUUUGAUUUAAAAUAUUACCUUCUGUGCGGCUGUUUAUCAAAUCUGAGAGAUGGCAAGUCGUCGGCUUCAGCCCCCAUGCCACGAGUGCUGGGGUGUUCGGGAUAAACUUGAGCACUCUUGUUCCCAUAUUUGGGUCCAUCUAGGGAGGCGCUCAACACAACGAACAAGGCAACCGGACUUAUAAUGCUUGAACACUCUCACUUAGCCAUAAAAUUCUAUAAUUUUAAAUUUCGGCGAAGCCCCUAAUCUUCGGAAGGCCGAAUUUGGGGCGCUAUCCAUGCCUUGGCCGGACAAAAACCGGCUCCUCGCUCUAAGCGGCAUAAGUCUUUAGGGACUCACAAAAAACCUCUCGAACAGCGACCAGCUCUCACCUCAUCAUGACGGUCAGUUUUAGCUUUCUCCACUGAGGCGUUAACCCAGCUCAACUGGGGCGCAAUCGCAGUGGUUCUCCCAGUGCUACCUUAGCCGAUACAACGGAACAUAAGGUACCAAAACAUGGGAGCCGGGCAAACCCAACUAUUGACCCAAGACAUGAUUCGGAGCUGAUGCAUAUAUUGCUAUAAGUUCGGGGUGCCGCACUUGUGAAAGUGUUCGGACUUAUCACACCAUGAUGCGGGAAACAUAAGCCCCUGGUGUAUUUAGCCAUACCAGAACGUACGGAUGCGUAAUGUCACAAAUGAACAUAUGUAUAAAAAAGAAAUGCAAUUGCAAGCAAAAAAAGGUGCUGCAUUACUUAUUAAAGAAAAAUUGUUGUAAGUGCAGAACGAUACAAAUGGUGCGAUAAGCAAGGGAUGGGACUGUUAAACAUGUCCCCCUCCAGGGGUAGGCUGCGGAAUGGUGCAUAAAACAGAUUUAAUGCUCGUAAUGGAGACCACCUGGAUAGUCGUUGUAGCCUUUCUUCUUCCCUAGCUAUUGCAUCGUGAGUUCGGCAGGUCUACUACCGGACAGGGCCUCUGACGAACGGAGUCCUGUGGGUAAAAAUAAAAAAAAGGAAAAAGAAAAAAAAGAACGACACACUUGAGAGCCCCUGGUGUGGUUGAGCCGCAGUCUGGGCCUAUCGUGGUCGUGCCCCUCUCCCCAUGCCCAUGGUAUCUUCAGAGCGUAAUGGUGUACGCGAAGGACCUGUCUUGAUGUUUUACAGGGGCUGGGGUUGGGGCCGCACUGCUACGCAUGCUCGACACGUGCCAGGUGGUCUUGUUGUAAGUUACUCCGGGCGCGCUUAGCUGUGUACGGCCGCUUAAUGGCCGAACUCGAGAAUUGCCUUAAGAGGCUGCAUUGUACUUCUGCCGCGAGAGCCGUUGUAUGUUCCUCCGUGCGGAGAGAACGUUCAGUGUUUCCGUUGACCGUGAUGACUUCUCGAGGGCCUGGCAUCUUGAGCUUGAGGUAUGCGUAGUGCGGCACCGCGUUGAACUUUGCGAAUGCGGUACGUUCGAGCAGAGCAUGAUAGCCGCUGCGGAACGGAACUAUGUCGAAGAUUAAUUCCUCGCUCCGAAAGUUAUCCGGGGAUCCGAAGACCACUUCUAGUGUAACUGAGCCUGUGUAAUUGGCUUCUACACCUGGUAUGACGCCUUUAAAGGUCAUCUUGGUAGGUUUAAUCCUUGAGGGGUCUAUGCCCAUUUUGCACACUGUGUCCUGAUAAAGCAGGUUCAGGCUGCUGCCGCCGUCCAUCAGGACUCUGGUGAGGUGAAAUUCAUCGACGAUUGGGUCUAGAACCAAUGCGGCGAAUCCGCCAUGGCGGAUGCUGGUGGGGUGGUCCCUCCGGUCAAAAGUGAUCGGGCAGGAGGACCAUGGAUUGAACUUCGGGGCAACUGGCUCCAUCGCAUAUACAUCCCUGAGUGCACGCUUCCGCUCCCUUUUGGGUAUGUGCGUUGUGUAUAUCAUGUUCAUCGUCCGCACCUGUGGGGGGAAACCCUUCUGUCCUCUAUUGUUCGGCGGCCGGGUCUCUUCCUCGUCAUCGUUGUGCAGCCCCUUGUCAUUGUUUUCGGCAAUUAACUUGCCUGCCUAUUUGAAUACCCAACAGUCCCUGUUGGUGUGGUUGGCUGGCUUUUCCGAGGUGCCAUGUAUUUGGCACAAGCGGUCGAGUAUUCGGUCCAAAUUGGACGGACCCGGAGUAGUUCUUUUAAAUGGCUUUUUCCGCUGACCGGGUUUAGAGCCUCUGAAUCCGGCAUUGACUGUUGUAUCUUCACUGUUAUCGCCGUUAAUGCGGCGUUUGUUUUUGUUGCGAUGCGACCUGCCACUACGGUCCUUGAAAUCCGGACUGCCAGAAUUUUUGCUGAGGUUAUUGCUGCGUGCUAGCCAGCUGUCCUCACCCGUGCAGAAGCGGGUCAUGAGUGAUGUGAGGGCUGCCAUUGAUUUCGACUUUUCCUGUCCUAGGUGCCGGGCCAGCCACUCGUCGCGGAUGUUGUGCUUGAAGGCUGCUAGGGCCUUUGCAUCCGGACAGUCGACGAUUUGGUUUUUCUUUGUUAGGAACCGUGUCCAGAAUUGUCUGGCCGAUUCGUCUGGCUGCUGAAUUAUGUGGCUUAGAUCGUCGGCGUCUGGUGGUCGCACGUACGUGCCUGGAAGUUAUCGAGGAAUGCGGCUUCCAGGUCUUCCCAACUCCCGAUUGACUCUGCUGGCAAGCUGUUAAGCCAAUGUCGGGCUGGUCCUUUAAAUUCGAGUGGGAGAUAUUUGAUGGCGUGAAGAUCAUCACCGCGGGCCAUGUGGAUAUGGAGGAGAUAGUCUUCGAUCCAAACCGCGGGGUCUGUUGUGCCAUCGUAGGAUUCAAUGUUCACGGGUUUAAACCCUUCAGGGAUUUGAUGAUCCAUUACUUCGUCUAUGAAGCAUAGUGGGUGUGUGGCGCCUCUGUACUGGGCGAUAUCGCGACGAAGCUCAAAAGAGCUUUGUCUAUUUUGUUCGGCCCGGCCGGACUUACUGUGUCCGGCACGACGGUUGUCGCCACGUAUCAUGGGGCGCCCACGCGAUCCAUAGAUCGAUCUUGAUUGUCUUGCCUUACCCUCCAAUAUAUCUCGCAAGUCCGGAGCGUUCCCCUGUGGCUUUGUGCUCUUCGAGCGAUGCCGGGGUACGGUUCUAGUGAAGGGCCUAGAAGCCUCUCUGUCACGACCACGGGGUGGUCGGUCAGCCGUAUUGUCUGCUAGUGAUGUAGGUUCGUAUGCCUCCUCCUCUAAUCGGGGGAGCAGCUUGCGUUUAGGGUAACUUUUGGAGGGGCGUUCGAGCUCAUGCUCUUCGGCCGCGAGGACUUCAGUCCAUCUGUCGGCUAGCAGAUCUUGAUCAACUCUAAGCUGUUGGUGCUUUUUAUUUAGGCUGUUUGCCAUGGCCAUAAGCCUGCAUUUAAAACGCUCUUGUUCGACGGGAUCCUCAGGCACGACGAAUUCGUCGUCGUCGAGGCUUGCCUCGUCUCCGGAGGGAGGCAUGUAGUCCUCUACCUCUUCUUCUGCCGCUCUCUCAUGAGGGCUGGCGUCCCCAUCCUCCCGUGCUGAAUUUUGCUAGAGUGGGUUGUCUUCGGCACUAUCUGGGGUGUUAUUAUCUCUGGUGCCGGAAUCUUCAUUCUUGCUAUGGCAGGAUUAGAGCGGCGCCGCUGACGCCGACGCUUGGGCUGUUUCUUGGAGGGGUCAUCCUCCGCUGCCCCUUCGCCAUUCCCAUCCUUUGGGAUAUCCACCAUGUAUAUAUCAUAUGAUGAGGUGGCUUUCCAGUGCCCGAUAGGCGCUGGUUCUUGGUCAUCUCCGGCAUCGUCGUCCAUACCGUCGAUGUCUUCGGAGUCGUAGUCUAGCAUGUCGGUUAGGUCAUCAACAGUGGCUACCAAGUGGGUGGUGGGUGGGUUUUGAAUUUCUUCAUCGUCCGCAUCCCAACCGUCCUGGCCGCAGUCCGGCCAGGGCUCUCCUGAUAAUGAGAGAUACUUUAGCAAACUCAGGAUGUCGCCAAAAGGUGAGUGUUGAAAGAUGUCCGAGGCAGUAAACUCCAUGAUCGGCGCCCAACCGGAUUCGAUUGGUGGGGGCGCGGGAGGUUCGUAGUCCGGCAAGGAGUCCGGCGCCUUGGAGUCACGAGCUUCAUGAGGGACAAGGUCAGUGUUCGGCUCUAUCACCAUAGAGGUUGCAGCCCCCGAGGCGGCGUCUAACCAUCCAUCCUCGAUCUGCGCAGCCGGCUCUGAAUUGAAGAUCGGAGCAGGCUCAAGUGCGGCCUCCAGGGUACUGUCCGGUCGCAGAGCUAAAUCAUGCUCGUCGUGACAGUGCGGCACGCUCGGCUGUGGCUCGAAUCCAUCGAGGAUCAAGUCCCCACGGAUGUCAGCCGUGAAGUUCAAACUUCCAAAUCUGACCUGACGGCCAGGGGCGUAACUUUCGAUCUGCUCUAGAUGGCCAAGAGAAUUGUCCCGCAGUGCAAAGCCGCCGAAUACGAAGAUCUGUCUGGGGAGGAAGGUCUCACCCUGGACUGCGUCGUUGAUGAUGAUCGGAGAAGCCAUUGAGCCUAUCGGCGACUGCACAGAGGAACUCUCAAUGAAAGCACCAAUGUCGGUGUCAAAACCGGCGGAUCUCGGGUAGGGGGUCCCGAACUGUGUGUCUAGGCGGAUGGUAACAGGAGACGAGGGACACGAUGUUUUACCAAAGUUUGGGCCCUCUUGAUGGAGGUAAAACCCUACGUCCUGCUUGAUUAAUAUUGAUGAUGUGUGCUACAAGAGUAGAUCUACCACGAGAUCAAGGAGGCUAAACCCUAGAAGCUAGCCUAUGGUAUGAUUGUUGUUCGUCCUACGGACUAAAGCCAUCUGGUUUAUAUAGAUACCGGAGAAGGCUAGGGUUACACAGUGUCAGUUACAAUGGUAGGAGAUCUACAUAUCCGUAUCGCCAAGCUUGCCUUCCACGCUAAGGAAAGUCCCAUCCGGACACGGGACGAAGUCUUCAAUCUUGUAUCUUCAUAGUCUUGGAGUCCGGGCGAUGAUGAUAGUUCGGCUAUCCGGACACCCCCUAGUCCAGGACUCCCUCAACCACCUUGGUGAAAGAAUAUAAAGUUUAAUUUUACACAAAGCUAAUAUUUGAAGUAAAUAAAGAUGAAAUUGGGUGGGGGAGGGGGUGGGUUGACGACAAACCACGACAUUCUAGAGUGUCCUUUAAUUAAUGUUAUCUCGUUAAGUAAUACUUUGCCCCUAAGAUUCGUAGGAUUCCGAAGGCGUGGAUAUGAAAAAGUAGAUACAAGUACAAUGUGAUAUCCAACUGAAUCAUAAAAUAUUUGUGAAUUUUGAACCAAAGUUUGUUUGAUUGUACUCCCUUCGUUUCAUAUCAGUUGUCAAGUGGUUUGAGUCAAUGCAAAUUUCUUAUAUAAUGCAAGCACAAUGCAAAUAACUACCAUCGCAAACAAUUAUAUGAAAAUCCACUGAAUGAAAGAGGCCCAUCAACUUAGAAAUUCCUUGCAAUAUGUACUCAUAUAAGGCCUUCCUCCUAUGCCCUUGCCCAGGCAGGGGGCUGGAGCAGCAGCGGCCCCGUCCGCCCCGCGAUCCUUGGCUUCUCAAGCCGAGUCGGUCAUGCCGUGUCCAACAUGGAUGGUUCAAAGAGGAGUUCUGGGGGACCACGCACAGGAGGGCUAGGGCUUCCUGGCCCAUGCCGCAAGAUACAGUAGACUUCUGUGUACUUCAAGACGUCAGGGGCAUCGGUGGAACAUCAUCGGAAACCACGAAAGCCGCCAGAUCGAGCCAACCUCCCUACCGUGAAGCCUUUGUCCGAGCGCCCGCCCGACGAGAGGGCAUCGCCUGUUCUCGAAGGAAAAGUGCCGCCAGCGCUUGAGGAGAACCUGGUGGUUGGUGGGGGCGAUUAUGGGGCUCCCUCCGAGGAUGCUACCCGCCUGAAGCCUUCCAUCGGGGGAGCCGAAGAUGUUGUGGCGACGAACCCGUGGGUGCAGACGCUCUUCAUAUGCAAAGCCGGUACACCAAACAAGUGUCAGACUAUGGAGUCUCUGGAGGGGCAGCAGACUCGUGUGGAAGGAGAUAUGCAUGACCAGGACAUGCUGGAGAGAACAAACACCAUGGAGGCAGUCGGCCCAGGGGCCGCUGAUGAACUGACGGGGCUCGUGGAGCCUCGUCAAGAGCAAUGAACAUCCUGAGCUGGAACUGCUGAGGAGGUGGGAACCCUCAGACAGUUUGGGAUCUCGUGAGUCUAGUACAGGCUCACUCCCCUAGUAUCGUUUUUCUUUGUGAAACUAGGUAGUCGAAAAAUGAAAUGAAGAGAUAUCGUGCUCGUUUAGGUCUUAGUGGUUUUGAUGCUUCUGAUAGCAUAGGCUUCAGUGGUGGUCUUGCUUUGUAUUGGCACGAGUCAUUGAGUCUGGAUGUAAAAACUAUUAAUGAAAGAUACAUCGAUGCGUACGUGACUGGUAUGGCAGGUGAGCCACCCUGGAGGCUUACUUGCGUCUACGGCGAACCCCGGACGGAGGACCGUCCUCGCAUGUGGUCUUCCCUUCGGGAACUUCAUCAACAAACCAACAUGUCGUGGACGAUGAUUGGUGAUUUUAACGAAGCCAUGUGGAGUUUUGAGCACUUCUCCGAAACACCACGGUCGGCAGGUCAGAUGAUUGCUUUCAUGAUGUUCUUGAAGUUUGCGGCUUGGGCGACCUUGGUUUUGCAGGCCUUCCAUAUACAUAUGAUAAUCGCCGAGGAGGGCGGGCGAACGUCAAGGUCCGCAUCGACAGGGAUGUGGCAAACAAUUCCUGGAGGGAUAUUUUCUCUCACGCCAAGGUGGAGCACCUUGUGGCGCCCAGCUCGGACCAUCUUCCCAUUUUGCUGCAGUGUGUGAUGGAGGAGCCCGUGCACACAGUCGGGAGAAAAUGUCGCCAAUAUGAGGUUAUGUGGGAGAUGGAUCAUACUCUCCCUGAGGUAAUUAUGAAUGCAUGGACUGAGUUGGGUUCAAUGCUUAAUCUCGGUGAUAUAGCUACUGGUUUGGGUAAUAUGAUGAAUAAGUUGCAGCAGUGGAGUCGUAAGAAGUUUGGUAAUGUAAUCAAGGAAAUUAAUAAAUCUCGCUCUCGUUUAGAGGAACUUAUGUCUAUGAAUGCAGACAGGAAGGAGAUUAGAGCGGCAAUAGACCGGAUGAACGAGCUCCUGUACAGGGAAGAAAUGCUUUGGAUGCAAAGAUCGUGUAUUGCUUGGCUGCGGGAAGGUGACCGGAAUACCCAGUUCUUUCAUCGAAAAGCGGUAUGGCGUGCACGGAAAAAUCGUAUAGAACUUCUUGUCGAUGAGGCAGGAGUGACCCACAAGGACCAUGCUUCUAUGGCGGCUAUGGCUACUGCAUAUUUUUCGAGUUUAUUUGCUGCUGAUACUACCCUGGCUCCAGAACCUGUUAUCGAUCUCAUUAAUACCCGUGUUACUGACCGCAUGAAUGAUGGCCUAUGCGCAGAUUUUUCAGACAAGGAGAUAGCCGAUGCACUGUUCCAGAUUGGGCCUCUGAAAGCCCAGGGACCGGAUGGAUUCCCCGCUUGUUUCUUCCAGCGGAAUUGGGCGGUCAUGAGGGAACAAGUUAUUGCUGGGGUAAAGGAAUUUUUUCGCACAGGUAUCAUGCCCGCGGGAGUGAACAACACAUCCAUUGUUCUUAUACCAAAGGUGGAUAACCCGGAGAGGUUAACAGAGUUCCGCCCCAUCAGCCUGUGCAACGUUAUUUAUAAGGUGGUGGCAAAAUGUCUGGUAAACCGGUUGAGGCCUAUUUUAGAUGACAUUAUUUCACCGGAGCAGAGCGCCUUUGUUCCUGGAUGGAUGAUUACUGAUAAUGCUUUAAUUUCUUUUGAGUGCAUUCACUUUAUUCAGCAGGAGAAAGACCCUGACAAGAGUUUCUGUGCGUAUAAGCUGGAUCUGUCUAAGGCAUAUGAUAGGGUGGAUUGGAUCUUCUUGGAGCGAAUGAUGCAAAAGAUGGGCUUCGCUUGCCAAUGGGUGGACUGGAUUAUGGCUUGCGUCACCUCGGUGAGAUACACAGUAAAAUUUAAUGGAACCCUCUUGGAUUCGUUCGCACCGUCACGUGGGCUUCGACAAGGUGAUCCCCUAUCCCCGUUUAUGUUUCUGUUGGUGGCUGGCGGGCUUUCUGCUUUGUUGAAAGAUGGAGAGGAGAAAGGUGCUUACACACCGCUGGAAAUCUGCCGAAGAGCUCCGGGUGUGUCACACUUGCUUUUUGCGGAUGAUACUUUGUUGUUCUUUAAAGCAGAGGAGGAACAAGCAAAAAAGGUUCAGGAAGUACUUAAUAUGUAUGAACGGGUUACUGGACAGUGUAGUAACCCAGAUAAGUGCAGUGCUCUCUUUGGUCCAUCAUGUGCCGUGGACAUACAGGAUAGUAUACGGGUUGUCCUUCACAUUGGUGUGAGCACCUUUGAGGAAAAAUACCUAGGACUUUCGACGCCAGAGGGUCGUAUAUCACGAGGUAAACUUCAGAAUUUGCAGUCACGGCUGAUGAAGAGGACCAUUGCUUGGGGUGACACUCUUUCUCUUGCUGCCAAGGAGAUUAUGAUUAAAGCAGUCGCACGGGCUAUCCCAACUUAUAUUAUGGGUGUUUUUAAACUGCCUAUGUCAGUGUGUGAUGAUCUGAACAGAACGGUGCGAAAUUUUUGGUGGGGAUCUUCAGAGGGCAAGAGGAAAACUCACUGGUUGGCAUGGCCAAAAAUUCUGGCGCACAAAUCCCAGGGCGGAUUGGGUUUCAAGACUUCCGGGUGUUCAACCAAGCUCUUCUCACGAGACAGGCAUGGUGCUUGCUAGCUAAGCCUGAUAGUUUAUGUGCGCAGGUGUUAAAGGCUCGGUAUUAUCCUGAUGGACGCCUUGAGGAUACAGUAUUUGCCGGAAAUGCUUCGCCUACUUGGCAGGCCAUCCAGCAUGGCCUCGAGCUCCUGAAGAAGGGCAUCAUCUGGCGUGUCGGGAAUGGACAGAGCAUCCGCAUCUGGCGGGACCGCUGGGUACCCCGGGAGCCUUCACGCCAUCCCAUUACACAGCAAGGCACCUGUCGGCUGAGAUGAGUGGCGGAUCUUCUGGAUGAUGCCGGCGCUUGGCAGAUGGACUUGCUACGCCGACACUUCCUCCCGGCGGACAUUGACGCGGUCACCAGUAUCCGCACCUCGCCCCACAUCACCGACGACAUUAUCGCAUGGGCGCCGGAGAAGAACGGUAUAUUCAUCGUUUGAUCCGCCUAUCACUUCGCCAUGGACGAGCGGGAACGUCCACUGGCUACCUCCACGAGCAGGGCACCAGAUGGUCGUCGCGCCAUCUGGAAGAUCAUAUGGGGGUGCCCUGCCCCCCCUAAGGUACGCGUGUUUGCAUGGAGAGUAGUGACCAACUCGUUGGCUACCUGGGCCAACAAAUUUUCUCGUCAUCUUGAGCUUACUGACAUAUGUCCUCUUUGUGGUGUGGAACGAGAGGACGGCUUCCAUGCAUUAUGCAGAUGCCCACUUGCUAGAGAGCUGUGGCGGAAUAUGGAGACGGACUGGCCAAUCCCAAAGCUCGAGGGAAUUUGCAAUAACGACCCAGAGUGGCUGUUUUCCCUCCUGGAACCACUAGACGGAACGGCACGCCUGGUCACCCUCAUGAUUAUGUGGCGAACCUGGUACGUGCGCAAUGAGAUUACUCAUGGAAAGAAGCCACCCCCAACAGAAGCAUCCCGCCGCUUCCCCAACGGGCACAUUAAUUCGCUUCUAUGCAUUCAUCACUACCCAAAUGGAGACGUGGAGAAAGGAAAGAUGAUCCUGCAUGUUACCCCACCGGCCACAACUUUAUGUACUGAGCAGAAGCAGGAGCUACGUUGGGCGCCGCCCGGCCCGAGCUGGACGAAGUUAAACACUGAUGGCAGUUAUGUCCCAGCUACAGGCGUUGCAGGAGGGGGCAUGGUCCUCCGCGAUGACAGAGGAGAGAUCAUCUUCAGUGCGUGUAGGGAGAUACGCACAUGUGAUAACAGCCUGCAUGCGGAACUUGCAGCAUGCAGAGAGGGCUUGGAAUUGGCUUUGCAUCGGACCAACCUACCCAUCGUGGUGGAGCUGGAUAGUGUGGAAGCGGUCACGAGGCUUACAACACAUGUGAUGGACCGCUCACAGCACCGUGUUCUAGUUGACGAGAUUCGGAGGAUAGUUACAUAAGAGGAUAGAGAGAUUUUUUUUACUCACUGUAGACGAUCUCGGAAUAAAGUUAGUCAUGAGUUGGCCGCGUACGGCCGUAGUACCCCCCGCACUGCUGUGUGGUUGCGAUCAGGGUUGGAAUUUGUUGUAAACCUAUCCAAGGCUGAUAAGCCUCCUUGAGUAAUGAAAAUCUCCUUUCACCCUGCAAAAAAAUGUACUCAUAUAAGGCUAGCUUUUUUUCCUGUUAAAAAAGAUAAAUAAUGGAGAAAUAUUUGGGAAGAUAACACUUGGCACUCGGUUGGUGGAACACGUCACAAUAUUAUUUCGAAUUGAUCUGUAACCAGAAUCUCAAUGCAAAAUACCCCAAGCAUACAACCGAGACCACGCAUGCACCCCAUCGCAUGGCCUCCACACGCCUUGUCGAUAUCCAUGGUGGCAUCUGCGCCGGCCGGGUGUCACGGAUCCCCCUUCACUCCCUCAGCGUGUGAACGUGGACGCUCCAACCCAACCGUGCCCCGUGUUCAGGAUAAGCUGGCCGGCUCGUCCGCCCUUCUUAUUGCCGCUGCUUCUCAUCUCACACGCUCCAACACUAUCCUCUCCUCCACCGAGUAUCCGCCUACGGAGUAGUACCUCGCAAGCUAGCUCGCAGCUCCGCCGCAAUGGCCACCGUAUUGAGCAGCCUCCGCUUGCCCUUCUCCGUCUGCCCCGCCGCCCCUUCGGCGCCCAUGGCGGCAUCCCGCGUCGCGCUCCCGCUGUCGUCGACGGCCGCCAGGGGCAUGAGGCUCCGCGCGCAGGCGACGUACAAGGUGAAACUGAUCACGCCGGAGGGCGAGGUGGACCUCGAGGUCCCCGACGACGUCUACAUCCUCGACCACGCCGAGGAGGAAGGGAUCGACCUGCCCUACUCCUGCCGCGCCGGCUCCUGCUCCUCCUGCGCCGGGAAGGUGGUCUCCGGCCAGCUGGACCAGUCCGACCAGAGCUUCCUCGACGACGACCAGAUCGAGGCGGGGUGGGUGCUCACCUGCGCCGCGUACCCCACCUCGGACCUCGUCAUCGAGACCCACAAGGAGGAGGAGCUCACCGCUUGAAUUCACUGAUUUGUUUAGUUCGACCCGUUUCCACCGUGCGCGUGUACCAUGCACGACAUUCGAACUGUAUCAGGAUAUUGAGGAGUUGCAAAGUACAGUACGUAAUUAGUACUUGCUGUUGUGGUCGGAUUUUGAUUGCUUUUGCUUAUUAAUGCCUAGUGUUAAUUUUCUCAAGUCAAUCAAGUAAUAAAAGGAGAUGAGAUUGUACUCCAUGUCUCCGUUACGCGUGCCUCGCGAUUCACUUAUGAUUUAGAUCCUUUUUAGUUUGCAUAUAAGUU
rnacentral:lncRNA from 1 species